rnacentral:lncRNA from 1 species
ACCUCACAAGAUCCGUGGUGCUUUCGUCCGCAAAGUGGUAGCUCAAGACCGCGGUAGCAUCGAGGUCUCUUAAAAAAGCGCCGAUGCGUUGGUGGUAAUUAAGGACUAGGGCUAGCCGUUCUUCCUCCCCCAUUGUAAGCGGUCGUCCUUCGGGCAGAUUUACAGGAGCCUGACCUCCCUGCGGGAGACCUCCCUGCGGGAGAUACGGGGCCACGGCGCGGGACAGGUCAUCAUCGCCCAUCAUAUUCAUACCACCUCCUAACAUCGGUAUGAAGUUGAUUUCUCGUUCAGUGUCAUUCUUUCAGAUGUGCGUUUUCUCGACUGUAACAUCUGAUGUUUCUGUCUAUCAGUCGUCCCUGCUACGAGAGGAUUCAUCUAGCUGGAUGAUGACGAUCAGAGGCAACCAGCUGCUGCGGUAGAACCUGUUGUGUCCGAGGUGCCCGUGGCGACAAUUGUUGUGGUGAGUGCUCCACUUGUUAGUUCAGUCGUUGUCAGCAAAACUCCAACUGGAUUGCAGUCGAGCGUUCCAGUUGUUUCUAUUGCGGCUUCAGGAUUGAUGUCUCCCGCGACCGUGUACACCACGUGUCGUGUCCCUCAGGAUCAGGCUGGUGCUGCCAAGGAUGCUAUGAUCCAGGCAGGACUGAUGAAGCAACAAGGAAGAGGAGCAUAUGACGCCAUCGUCUCUCUGUACAACAACAGCCUGGUGCUGGAAGAACACGUCCGAGUAAGUUCGACCGUAAGUUUGAAUUCUAACUCUCACCCACUGGUGGUUGCUUUUUUGUAGAAUUCUCUUUGUUUCAUUCAUGUUCCAGUGGGGUCACUCUGAGACCGCUGUCGAGUGCUUGCACAGGCAGUGGUCUUAAUCAGUAGAGACGUUCCUUUUUUCUUAUUCAAAACCAAGCAGAGCUGACCUAGUUGAAUUAUGAAUCCAGUAGGGGCACGCUAAGUGCACCGACUGGGUGUAGUCCCCGAGAAUAUUAUUAGUAGGGAUUGAAUGAUAAUAUUCUUAAGUACUUGAGUGUAUACUGUAUUUGACUCGACAUGGCAGACCUCGUCGAGUAUUAAACCAGUUGGGUCACGUCGAGUGAACCCGCUAGGUGUAGUCCCCGAGACUACUGUUGAAUGCGUUCAUAAUCAGGAGUCUGUAUUUGAAUGCUUGCAUUAUUUAUUGAAUGACUUGUAUUUUUCCACUCGGAAGUAGAUUAAUACUUGUGUCGAGUGAAAAUAAUUUUUCCACUCGGAUGUUUUUUGUAGAAAGCUUGUGAGAUUGGGUUGUAGUACGCCCAGGUGGAAUCUGAGAUGAACAAACUGAAGCUGGAAUAUGAUGCCAUGAAAAGGUUGCUGGAAGACAAGGAUGUGGCCCUUGCCAAUCUGAAGCAGAAGUCUGAAACUGAUGAAUUGAAGCUUGCGGACCUUGAGAAGUUGAAGCCAGAAAAUGAACAGAUGAAGAAGGAAAGGGAUGAAUGGGCGAAGAGACUCCACUCCAUGUCGAAAAGAGGAAAUGCCUUGGAAAGUUUUAUAAAAGACUUCCUCGCAAAGAUGGUUGAUUCUCUCAUUGGUAUGUUUUCUUUACCGAGUGAGUCUUAGAAUUUUUCAUCGACUGACAUGCAGCUGAUAUUUCGUUGGUCUCCUGUUGCAGAGUUUUGUCCUGAUUUCCAAAAAGAGACAUUCGAGGUGGAGCCAUACUUGGAUCCAAUCAAGUUUCCUAUUCCCGAUGACUUGGCCAUGAACAUGUAUCGCCUCAACUGCCGUCUUGUUAAAGUCCAAGGGUACUUCAGUCGUCUGCGAGCUGUUGUGGAACGAAUCGACAAGGAGCUAUGGCCUGAAGACACGUUCCUCGUCGGUCUAGAUGUUGUGAUGGAGCACCUGGGUCGUGUUCGAGAAAGUAUCCAAGCGUGGAAGAAGUCUACUACUCGGCGUGGGGCGGACGUAGCCUUGUCACUCGUGACGGUCCAUUGCAAGGAGACUCGGGAGGAGAAGCUGAAGGCGUUGCAGGUUGCGAACACGAAGAACCUUCGUUUUAAAGACUUCAUGGAGACUUUCAUCGAUCCGCAACUCUCAUCGCCGAUGUCAGCGACCUCGAUACCUUUGUGGAGCCAGCCAGUCCAGGUGAGCCUUGAUGAAGUUGAUCACUCGUGAGAAAAACAGUUAUUUGCCUCGGUAUGCCGAGUGGUUCUUGUAAACGCUUAAAACUUUGUUCGGGUGAUAACCGGAGUACUUUUGUCCGGCGCGGAUAACCUUGAUCUGCGCUAGGCAUUAUUUAUUUUCUCACUUUGACUGAAUGUGGUUUUAUCUUUGUCAAAUGAACCUUUCCUUUUCGGUGAUGCUCUUGGCAUACACCAAGUCAUCCCACCUAAGUGAACUUUGAUUCGCGAUUGGGUAGGGAUUCGGGCGGGAUUUCAUUACUUAGACGAAUCUGGUUCGCGGCUAAGCCUCCAAAUGAGAGGGUAGCUCUUCACACUACAGGAAUCACCUUCUUUGCCGUCUGCCAUCACAGACGGCAAAGGCUAAAUCCCGGACGGCAAAGACAAAACAACAGACGGCAAAGAAUCUCACGGCCGGCAAAAUUUCUGCGUCAGCCUACGACGGCAUAGGACCUUCUUUGCCGUCUGUCCCCCCAAAGCGGACAGCAAAGCUCUUUGCCGUCAGCUUUCCUCAGGAGCAGUCGGCAAAGUGCUCGAGACGGCAGCCGACAGGCGUUGCCUUCGUUAGGGUUUAACGGAGGCUUUGCCGUCUGCCUCCCGCUUACUCUUUGCUGUCUGCCUCCUCCUGCCCCCUCCACUCUUUGCCGUCUGCCUCCCCCUUGUUCUUUGCCGUCUGCCUCCUCCUCCUCCCCCCCUCCACUCUUUGCCGUCUGCCUCCUCCUCCCCCCUCCUUUGUGCCCUCUUCUUUACCGUCUGCCCACCCUGGAGGCAGACGGCAAAGAGCCAAUAUAGACACCCCAGGAUGCACAACUGGGUGCCAUGUGGCACCUUUGCCAUCUGCCAGCUGAUGGCACAGGUCUUUGCCAUCAGCUGGAAGACGGCAAAGAGCCCAUAUAUUUGACACCACAUUUAUAUAAUUGACAGCACAUAUAUGAUAUAUAUAGUUCACCACGCAUAUACUUGCCAACACAUAUAUAUAAUUCACCACACAUAUAUGAUAUACAUAUAAAUCAAUGUACAUCCCCAUAUAUCGAAAGAACCAACAUACAAAGUAUUGCACUGUUUAUCCAUAUAUACAUAUACAUAUAGUUCAACAUUGUUCAUCAACUCAAAUGAAAACUAGAUGAUAUACAUAUAAAGUUCAUCCAUCGACAUUGUUCAACUCCAUUAAUGCCAGCUUUGAUGCAUGUAGUAUAUCCAAUCUGCAAAAAUGUGAAUAAGAAAGUCAGAAGAAGAACAAAAUAUGAUGUUUUUCACCUAAUUAUGUCAUUUUUAGCAGAAAACAAGCUAAGAAUAUAAUAUUCAUGAGCUAACCAAGGUUCUUAUGCCAUUUUUAGCUUAUUGUGGCAUUUUGGAGCUAAAUGGGUUAAUUAAAGCAAGGAUAAUAUUAAAGAGGAGAAGAAAGAGGAGGAGGAGGAGGAGAUGAAGAAAUCAAGAAGAAGGAGGAUUAGGACUAGAAGGUCCUUGGCCUUCUCCUCCUCCUCCUCCUCCUCCUCAUUCUCCUUCUCUUUUUCUUCUUCUUCUUCUUGUUCUUUCUUUUCAUUUUGCCUAUUUCUUCUCCUCUUCUCCUCUUGUUGGAGCUAAAUUACCUAAUUAUGUCUUUUUGGAGCAAAAUGGGUUAAUUAUCCCAUUUUAGAAGAAAACAAGCUAAGUAUAUAAUAUUCAUGAGCUAACCAAGGUUCUUAUGCCAUUUUGAGCUUAUUAUGGUAUUUUGGAGCUAAAUGGGCUAAUUAUGUCAUUGUUGGGGAAAUUAAAGCAAGGAUAAUAUGAAAGAGGAGAAGAAAGAGGAGGAGGAAGAGAUGAAGAAGAAAUCAAGAAGAAGGAGGAGAAGGAGGAGGAGGAGAAGGACUAGAAGGUCCUUGGCCUUCUCCUUCUCCUCCUCCUCCUCCUCCUUCUCCUUCUUGGAAAUUAAUGCAAGGAUAACAUGAAAGAGGAGAAGAAAUAGGAGGAGGAGGAGAAGAAGAAGAAAUCAAGAAGGAGGAGGAGAAGGAGGAGAAGGAGGAGGAGGAGAAGGACUAGAAGGACCUUGGCCUUCACCUUCUCCUCCUCCUCCUCCUCCUUCUCCUUCUUCUCUUCUUCUUCUUCUUCUUCUUUCUUUUCAUUUUUCCUAUUUCUUCUCCUCUUCUCCUCUUGUUGGAGCUCAAUUACCUAAUUAUGUCCUUUUGGAGCUAAAUGGGCUAAUUAUUUCAUUUUAGAGAAAAACAAGCUAAGAAUAUAAUAUUCAUGAGCUAACCAAGGUUCUUAUGCCAUUUUGAGCUUAUUAUGGUAUUUUGGAGCUAAAUGGAAUAAUUAUGUCAUUGUUGGGGAAAUUAAAGCAAGGCUAAUAUGAAAUAGGAGAAGAAAGAGGAGGAGGAGGAGAAGAAGAAGAAAUCAAGAAGGAGGAGAAGGAGGAGAAGGAGGAGGAGGAGAAGGACUAGAAUGUCCUUGGCCUUCUCCUCCUCCUCCUCCUCCUCCUCCUCCUUCUCCUUCUUCUCUUCUUCUUCUUCUUCUUUCUUUUCAUUUUUCCUAUUUCUUCUCCUCUUCUACUUUCUCCUCUUCUUGGAGCUAAAUUACCUAAUUAUGUAUUUUUGGAGCUAAAUGGGCUACUUAUCUCAUUUUAGAGGAAAACAAGCUAAGUAUAUAAUAUUCAUGAGCUAACCAAGGUUCUUAUGCCAUUUUGAGCUUAUUAUGGCAUUUUGGAGCUAAAUGGGCUAAUUAUGUCAUUGUUGUGGAAAUUAAUGCAAGGAUAACAUGAAAGAGGAGAAGAAAUAGGAGGAGGAGGAGAAGAAGAAGAAAUCAAGAAGGAGGAGGAGAAGGAGGAGAAGGAGGAGGAGGAGAAGGACUAGAAGGACCUUGGCCUUCACCUUCUCCUCCUCCUCCUCCUCCUUCUCCUUCUUCUCUUCUUCUUCUUCUUCUUCUUCUUCUUUCUUUUCAUUUUUCCUAUUUCUUCUCCUCUUCUCCUCUUGUUGGAGCUCAAUUACCUAAUUAUGUCCUUUUGGAGCUAAAUGGGCUAAUUAUUUCAUUUUAGAGAAAAACAAGCUAAGAAUAUAAUAUUCAUGAGCUAACCAAGGUUCUUAUGCCAUUUUGAGCUUAUUAUGGUAUUUUGGAGCUAAAUGGAAUAAUUAUGUCAUUGUUGGGGAAAUUAAAGCAAGGCUAAUAUGAAAUAGGAGAAGAAAGAGGAGGAGGAGGAGAAGAAGAAGAAAUCAAGAAGGAGGAGAAGGAGGAGAAGGAGGAGGAGGAGAAGGACUAGAAUGUCCUUGGCCUUCUCCUCCUCCUCCUCCUCCUCCUCCUCCUUCUCCUUCUUCUCUUCUUCUUCUUCUUCUUCUUCUUCUUCUUCUUUAUUUUCAUUUUUCCUAUUUCUUCUCCUCUUCUCCUCUUAUUGGAGCUAGAUUACCUAACUAUGUCUUUUUGGAGCUAAAUGGGCUAAUUAUCCCAUUUUAGAGGAAAACAAGCUAAGUAUAUAAUAUUCAUGAGCUAACCAAGGUUCUUAUGCCAUUUUGAGCUUAUUAUGGCAUUUUGGAGCUAAAUGGGCUAAUUAUGUCAUUGUUGGGAUAAUUAAAGCAAGGAUAAUAUGAAAGAGGAGAAGAAAGAGGAGGAGGAGAAGGAGAAGAAUUCAAGAAGGAGGAGAAGGAGGAGGGGGAGGAGGAGGAAAAGGACUAGAAGGUCCUUGGCCUUCUCCUCCUUCUCCUCCUCCUCCUCCUUCUCCUUCUUCUCCUUCUUCUUCUUCUUAUUUAUUUUCAUUUUCCUAUUUCUUCUCCUCUUCUCCUCUUUUCCUCUUCUUAGAGCUAAAUUACCUAAUUAUGUCUUUUUGGUGCUAAAUGUGCUAAUUAUCUCAUCUUAGAGGAAAACAAGCUAAGUAUAUAAUAUUCAUGAGCUAACCAAGGUUCUUAUACCAUUUUGAGCUUCUUAUGGCAUUUACGAGCUAAAUGUGCUAAUUAUGUCUUUUUCGGGAAAUUAAAUCAAGGAUAAUAUGAAAGAGGAGAAGAAAGAGGAGGAGGAUAAGAAGAAGAAAUCAAGAAGAAGGAGGAGAAGGAGGAGGAGGAGAAGGACUAGCUAGAAUGUCCUUGGCCUUCUCCUCCUUCUCCUCCUCCUCCUCCUCGUCCUCCUUCUCCUUCUUAUCUUCUUCUUCUUCUUCUUCUUCUUCUUUCUUUUCAUUUUUCCUAUUUCUUCUCCUCUUCCCCUCUUCUUGGAGCUAAAUUACCUAAUUAUUUAUUUUUGGAGCUAAAUGGGCUAAUUAUCUCAUUUUAGUGGAAAACAAGAUAAGUAUAUAAUAUUCAUGAGCGAACCAAGGUUCUUAUGCCAUUUUGAGCUUAUUAUGGUAUUUUGGAGCUAAAUGGAAUAAUUAUGUCAUUGUUGGGGAAAUUAAAGCAAGGUUAAUAUGAUAUGGUAUUUUGGAGCUAAAUGGGCUAAUUAUGUCUUUUUGGGGAAAUUAAAGCAAGGAUAAUAUGAAAGAGGAGAACAAAGAGGAGGAGGAGGAUAAGAAGAAGAAAUCAAGAAGAAGGAGGAGAAGGACGAGAAGGAGGAGGAGGAGAAGGACUAGAAGGUCCUUGGCCUUCUCCUCCUUCUCCUCCUCCUCCUCCUUCUCCUUCUUGUCUUCUUCUUCUUCUUCUUUCUUUUCAUUUUUCCUAUUUCUUCUCCUCUUCUCCUUUCUCCUCUUCUUGGAGCUAAAUUACCUAAUUAUGUAUUUUUGGAGCUAAAUGGGCUAAUUAUCUCAUUUUAGAGGAAAACAAGCUAAGUAUGUCAUAUUCAUGAGCUAACCAAGGUUCUUAUGCCAUUUUGAGCUUAUUAUGGCAUUUUGGAGCUAAAUGUGCUAAUUAUGUCUUUUUGGGGAAAUUAAAUCAAGGAUAAUAUGAAAGAGGAGAAGAAAGAGGAGGAGGAUAAGAAGAAGAUGAAAUCAAGAAGAAGGAGGAGAAGGAGGAGAAGGAGGAGGAGGAGAAGGACUCGAAGGUCCUUGGCCUUCUCCUCCUCCUUCUCCUCCUCCUCCUCCUUCUCCUUCUUAUCUUCUUCUUCUUCUUCUUCUUCUUUCUUUUCAUCUUUCCUAUUAAUUCUCCUCUUCCCCUCUUCUUGGAGCUAAAUUACCUAAUUAUGUCUUUUUGGAGCUAAAUGGGCUAAUUAUCUCAUUUUAGAGGAAAACAAACUAAGUAUAUAAUAUUCAUGAGCUAACCAAGGUUCUUAUGCCAUUUUGAGCUUAUUAUGGUAUUUUGGAGCUAAAUGGGCUAAUUAUGUAUUUUUGGGGAAAUUAAAGCAAGGAUAAUAUGAAAGAGGAGAACAAAGAGGAGGAGGAGGAUAAGAAGAAGAAAUCAAGAAGAAGGAGGAGAAGGANNNNNNNNNNNNNNNNNNNNNNNNNNNNNNNNNNNNNNNNNNNNNNNNNNNNNNNNNNNNNNNNUUAGAGGAAAACAAGCUAAGUAUAUAAUAUUCAUGAGCUAACCAAGGUUUUAUGCCAUUUUGAAAUUAUUAUGGCAUUUUGGAGCUAAAUGGGCUAAUUAUGUCUUUUUGGGGGAAAUUAAAGCACGGAUAAUAUGAAAGAGGAGAAGAAAGAGGAGGAGGAGGAGAAGAAGAAGAAAUAUGGAAGAUGGAGGAGAAGGAGGAGAAGGAGGAGGAGGAAAAGAACUAGAAUGUCCUUGGCCUUCUCCUCCUCCUCGUCCUCCUCCUUCUCCUUCUUCCCUUCUUCUUCUUUUUUCUUUUUAUUUUUCCUAUUUCUUCUCCUCUUGUCGUCUUCUCCUCUUCUUGGAUCUAAAUUACCUAAUUAUGUCUUUUGGAGCUAAAUGGGAUAAUUAUCUCAUUUUAGAGGAAAACAAGCUAAGUAUAUAAUAUUCAUGAGCUAACCAAUGUUCUUAUGCCAUUUUGAGGUUAUUAUGGCAUUUUGGAGCUAAAUGGGAUAAUUAUCUCAUUUUAGAGGAAAACAAGCUAAGUAUAUAAUAUUCAUGAGCUAACCAAUGUUCUUAUGCCAUUUUGAGGUUAUUAUGGCAUUUUGGAGCUAAAUGGGCUUAUUAUGUCUUUUUGGGGAAAUUAAAGUAAGGAUAAUAUGAAAUAGGAGAGUAAAGAGGAGGAGCAGGAGAAGAAGAAGAAAUCAAGAAGAAGGAGGAGAAGGAGGAGGAGGAGGAGGAGAAGGACUAGAAGGUCCUUGGCCUUCUCCUCCUUCUCCUCCUCCUUCUCCUUCUUCUCUUCUUCGUCUUCUUCUUUCUUUUCAUUUUUCCUAUUUAUUCUCCUCUUCUCCUCUUCUACUCUUCUUGGAGCUAAAUUACCUAAUUAUGUCUUUUUGGAGCUAAAUGGGCUAAUUAUCUCAUUUUACAGGAAAACAAACUAAGUAUAUAAUAUUCAUGAGCUAACCAAGGUUCUUAUGCCAUUUCGAGGUUAUUAUGGCAUUGUAGAGCUAAAUGGGCUAAUUCUGUCUUUUUGGGGAAAUUAAAGAAAGUAUAAUAUGAAAGAGGAGAAUAAAGAGGAGGAGGAGGAGAAGAAGAAGAAAUCAAGAAGGAGGAGACGGAGGAGGAGGAGGAGAAGGACUAGAAGGUCCUUGGCCUUCUCCUCCUUCUCCUCCGCCUCCUCCUUCUCCUCCUCCUUCUCCUUCUUCUCUUCUUCUUCUUCUUCUUCUUUAUUUUCAUUUUUCCCAUUUCUUCUCCUCUUCUCCUCUUCUUGGAGCUAAAUUACCUAAUUAUGUCUUUUUGGAGCUAAAUGGGCUAAUUAUCUCAUUUUAGAGGAAAACAAGCUAAGUAUAUAAUAUUCAUGAGCUAACCAAGGUUCUUAUGCCAUUUUGAGGUUAUUAUGGCAUUUUGGAGCUAAAUGGGCUAAUUAUGUCUUUUUGGUGAAUUUAAAGCAAGGAUAAUAUGAAAGAGGAGAAGAGAAACUUACUGUAGUGGUCAUCAAGGAGGAGAAACACCACGGUUGCUCGCGCCGGCUUCGUUUGGAGACGGUUGCCCUGGAGAAGGGUCGUGCGAUGCCGCUCGGGAGUUAUUCUGCAGAAAAGAUAUUUUGCAACGUCUCAGUUAGCAUUGAUGACACUCAAUUAUUAAUACUAGUUUAUAAUGAAACGCACCGUGCCAAUCGAAGAGAAGACGGGCAUCGGCCGAGGGACUUGACCGNNNNNNNNNNNNNNNNNNNNNNNNNNNNNNNNNNNNNNNNNNNNNNNNNCGCUCUUCUCGCACAGACCCUAAAGAGUGGGUCGUAUUAGUUAGUAAUGAAACAGACAUUACACACAUGAUUUGGCUAAUGUGAAAAAAGCCAUACCACAAAAAGCUCGUACAGGGCCCGUUGACCCGCCUCAUUCCGGGCCCUCUCCUCCUCAAUCAAUCGUGCCAUGGUCUGGUCCCUCUCAUCAAGAGCAGCCUGAAGAGCAGCCUGGCUUGCCAAUAUCUCUUUCUCAAGAGCAACCUGGUUUGCCGCUCUCUCUUUUUGAAGAGCAGCCUGAAACACCAUUCCUCGUUACCACAGUAAUGAUCUAUGGUGACACACAUAAUGAAAUGGAUGAAAGUGUUCUUAGUCCAUACAACUAACCUCGAUGGCAAGUUCGACUGGCUGUGGACGACGUGUUAUCUCAGGACAGCUGCUCGACUGGCGCGCCUUGAUCUCCGGAAGAGUGAGUGGACAACGAAUUAUCCCAUCUCAAUGGCUAUCGAGCCAUGGGGCCUCCCGCCACCAGAUAUCAUCACCAGCUCUGGAUCCAAAGGUUCCUGGCUAGGGUUAAAGUCAUCCCCUUUCGUAGCCUUCCCCGCGUCCCGGUAUGCCACGAGCUUCUGGUGGGAUGAUAUGUUGGUGAAGUUAUUGGGAUCAUCCAGGUCAGACUCAGAGAAUGCCUUCGCCUUCUUGUACGAGGCAGCAUGGGCCAUGCCAUAAAGGUCGUACAAGUGUGGCAUCUCAAUCUUAUUGUGAUGUGCCUAAAAGAGAGGAACAAAAUAUUAGCAUCAAGAAUGAAUUGCAUGAAUCAUGAAGCAAAUCACAUACCCAGUUUCGUCCAAACUAAAGUAAGUUGGCGUUGCCUUGAUGGUGCGGCACACCAACCAUUUGGCUACGCCGAUCCUUCGCAUUCUCGUGGACGGCUCGCCAGCUGCCUGUGCACCACUCAUCAACCAACGCCUCCCAACAAUCCAUCUUAUCCGCACACCAUCUCGGGGGCACCUGUAAGUUAUUAGAAAGAAUUUUCAGCGCUACGCCUAUGAAUGAAAUCAAGAAAACUAGGUAGAAGGACUUAAGAAUAGGUAAUUACCUUCAUGUAUUGCUCCUUCUUCAGGAACUUUCCACGACAAUCCUUCUUCUGCUUCUUAAUACCACGCGUGGAGUAGUACUCUCGAAUAGCUUGCGGCCGAGCCUCGUGGCGCAAGUUCUGUAGUAACCACCUACACUCGGCCUCGAGAACCCUGGCCGCCUCCUCCUCAUAUCCAUCCUCACACCUAUAGAAGGUCUGCAAUCAAACGUGAAAACACCGAUUAGUACAAUAAUUAGCUAUAUUAUUAAUUUUAGAUUCUGUAAAAGGAUAAUUUACCCAAAAGCUCUUGAUCACCAUGUCGGCCCUCGUGUGGCACAAGACACCAUCUAUAAUCUCCUUCGGUGGGGCCUGCGCAGCCUGGUAGUGCUCCCAGGAAAAUCUUAGUGUAGGAACUGACCCUCACCAGGCAACCUGACAAACCCCGGGAAAUUUGUCCGGCAAAGCACACCAAGGACGGAGUUCGGCCUGCGGACUCCAAGAGGGUGUACCCAUCCCCUACAGUAUCAUAAGGUCAACGCAUUAGAUAUUUGAACAAACUUGAAGGCAAAAGCAAAAAAAAGGGUAAAUGUACUUACCUAUCUCCUUCAGGUUUAAUCACCGGCCUGUGCUCGCGGGUAGCCGGGGAGACCGGGAGACGUGUACUACCACGCUUGUACACGGUGGCCCCGUCCACCUGCACAUCGCCCUCACGAUCCGUAAGCUCGUCCGCGCCAUCCCCGCCCCCUGGGCCACCUGGACCGGCAACUCGGUACGAUCCGGCCAGGUCUCCCAUCCGGGCCUCUCCACGUCGGGUGAAGCCUCCGGAACCGUAGUCCCCUCCGGCUGCUCCUGGGCCGAAUGCACCUCGACCCGAGGCUGCUCCUGGACCGGAGUCUCAUGGGACGAAUGCCCGUCAACAACAGGCUCCUGGAACGGAGUCCCCGUAGCCUCCUCCGCAAACGGGUCGACCAUACUAGUCCUAUGCUGGGGUGAAUGAGCUGGUGGUGGUGGCGAGGACGGCUCAACAGUCCUCCUGGAUCUUCCGCGGCCACCACCUCUCCCUGUAUCCUUCCCCUUCUUCCCUACCCGACCAGCACCUCGCCCAGUGGGCAAUGCCGCCGACGAAGAAGAACCCACGUGUGGUGUCGACAGACUGUCGGCCAAGGCUCUAAGGAGAGAUAGGGUGGAAGGGAAGUACCAACCCUUAUGCGGGGCGCCUGGGAAGAACCCGUCGAGCGAUCUCGACCAGUGCCCACCAUCUUUCCACACCUGGUGACCUGCCAUGAUAAAGAUUAAAAGAAAUUAGUACAACAUAAAAAAAUUGAAUAACUGACAUGAAUAAUAAUAUGUACAUGAAUAAUAAAGAUUAAAAUAUAUAUAAUUUAAGUUGUGAAUCUUACAAACUAAUAAUCAUCAUCAUCAAUAAAUGCAUCAUCAUCAUCACUUUCACGCAUGUCUUCAUGAAUGACGUGCUCGUCGGGUUCAACGGCGUGAAGUUGUGAAAGGCCUUCCUUUAAUCGUUGAAGCAUUGACAGGUCAUCCACAUCAGUAACCUCUAUGAGUUCCAGGUCUUCUGGUUCCGGCUCAGGGCUGGAGUCGGUUUCAUUGUCGCUGUCUACUUCCAUGUUCUUGGGUGAAGCACGGCGGUUCUUGAAACGUUUCUUGGAAAGACGUGUUUCUUGGAAGAAUUAUCCAUCAUAUGUGUCUGGGUUAAUGUGAGGUUCAUAAUCCUGUUCAUUUGGGAGAGGUGGUCUGACAUGUGGCGGCACUUCAUAAACAACAUACCAACCUUCCAGAUUCUUAUCCGUUUGGCAUGCCCACGGUAGAUAGAAAACUUGGGUCGCCUAUUGAGCCGUAAUAUAGACAUCAGGAACAUCUAAAUGGGUGUUUGGAUUGAUUUCCACUAGUCUUAUAUGUUCAUGAGUCCUUCUAGUCUUUUUCGGCUAGAACCAAUAACAUUUGAAGACUACGACGUUCGCUGGGUUUUCACCAUAGAAUUGAAGUUCAUAAAUUGCUUCAACUCUUCCAUAAUACUCGAUAACACCUUCGCCGAUAGCAGAGACACCACAAUUUGUAGAUUUCUGGUCGGGCAUAGAUAGCUCUUUGCCAAAGGUACGAAAGAGAUACCCGUUGAUGUUGUAUUUCUCAAAUGAACGGACCUGAUAGUCAAAACCAUUAGCGACUUGUCUCAAUUCGGCGUUCAUAGACUCUCAAUUAGCCUACAAGUUUAAUACGAGACGGUUGUUGCAUUAGCCGUAAGUUAUACUAAGAAUGAAAUGGUCCAUUAUUGAUAAUUACCGUUUAUUUGAACCAAGAGAUGAAACCGGGAUAGCCGCCUCUUGUCUUUGACAGAAGCUCAUACUCUUCGAUAGAAUCAUUUUCGCUCACCGUUCCAUCCGAGAAUUUGACGACGUAACGGUUGAUUGAAAUAUCCGGGAAUAAGAGCAGUUCAAAUGAAUUAGAAGUUACGGGUAAAUAUACCGAGAACUAACUCGAUGUACGGUCGCACUUCUGUUAGGUUGUUGAAGAUAUACAACGAAAUGUUCCGCCAUUCUUUGACAUCCAACAUUAUUGGUUUCGAAGCACCGGCUGGUGCGAGCUUCCCUUUGAAUAGGCUCAGCUUGGACCCACCUUUUUUAGGGUCUGCAUCAUUGUGCCGAGGCUUCGGAUUAUGCAAAUGAUGAUUUUUGGCUUCGUAGUGUGCUGUCACAAAGUUUGCCACCUCCUCAGUAAUGAAUGCCUCAGCGAUCGAUGCUUCAAUUCUACGCUUAUUUUUACAUUUAGCUCGAAGGGUCUUCUCCAUCCUCUCAGUUGCAUAGCACCAACGAUCUUGCACGGGCCCACCUAAUCUUGCCUCGGUCGGUAGAUGUAAAAUCAAAUGCUGCAUUGGAUUAAAGAAGCCCGGUGGAAAGAUCUUCUCUAACUUGCACAACAACUCCGGUGCAAACUCCUCCAUGUCUUCUACCACACCAGGCGACAAUUCUUUCGCACAAAGAACACAGAAGAAAUAGCUCAGCUCCGCCAGUACUAGCCAUUCAUCCUCAGGAAUAAAGCCACGUAACAUCACCGGCAUUACCCGUUGUAGCCAUAUGUGCCAAUCAUGAAUCAUGAGACCAAAGAUUUUUAAUUUUUGAAGACUCGCUCCCCUCUUUAGAUUCGCGGCAUACCCAUCGGGGAACAUCAAGUGCCUUUUGACCCACAAGAUAAUUUCCCUCAUAGCUGGCCUUCCAAGAUUGAACUAGGCCUUUGGCUUCGACCACUUCUGCUUUCCUUUGCCUUCUUGCAUGUUUUGUAAUGGUCUAUGACAUAGUGUCUCUUGAUCGACUCAAGCCUUAGUAUUAUCCUUUGUAUUCCCAUCUAUGUCGAACAAUGUACCAAAAAUAGCCUCUCCGAUAUUCUUUUCAGUGUGCACCAUGUCGAUAUUGUGUGGAAGAAGGAGGUCUUUGAAGUAAGGCAGAUCCCAGAAGCAUGGCUUGUGAGUUCAGUCGUGUUUUGAAUUAUACCCCUUAAAAUACCCUGGACGCUCUGGAUCAGGCUCGAGGGCGUUUAACUGAUCCAGGAUCUGUUGGCCUGUGAAUGCAGGAGGUGCCAUGUUUUUGACAACUUUACCUUUGGUAAAGUUCUUCUUGUCUUUUCUGAACUGAUGGUCAGGAUCCAGGAACUGUCUAUGCAAGUCAAAGCAAGAAUACUUCCGACCCUCCUGCAACCAAUGAAACUGAAGAGUUGCCUUGCAUUGGGGGCACGGGAACCUUCCAUGCACACACCAUCUAGAGAAUAGCGCAUACGCUGGCAAGUCAUGCAUAGAGUACAUGUACCACACAUGCAUUUUGAAGUUUUCUUUUCUAGCGGCAUCGUAUGUAUUGACCCCAUUAUCCCAAGCUUCUUCCAAUUCAUCCUUAAGCGGUUGCAGGUACACAUUCAUAUUCUUCCCCGGAUAAUUGGGCCCUGGAAUUAUGAACGUCAGAAAUAUGUUCUUUCUUUGCAUAAUCUGCCCGGGGGGGGGGAGAUUGAGUGGAAUGAAAAAUACAGGCAAACAACUGUAUUGGGUUGCCGUCAUGUCGAAGGGAUUAAAAGCAUCCGUGGCGGCACAGACUCGAGGAUUCCUUGGAUCUGCCGCUUUAUCCUGAUGCAAUCCAUCGAAAUGUUUCCACGCCUCCCCAUCCGAUGUGUGUACCAUCAUUUUAUUCCCAUCCGCAUCUAGUUCGGUUCUUUUGCGCAAUUUGUGCCAUGUCAUCUGUCUGGCUGUCUCUUCGACCAUGAAAAGACGUGGAAGUCUUGGUACGAUUGGCAUAUACCAAAGAACACUAACUGCGAUUUUGGUCUCCCUCUUCUCACCAAUACCGUUGUCUACCACAAGAUACCUGCAAGACUCGCAAUUGGGACAAUAGUCCAAUUUUGCAUACUCCUUCCUAAAUAAGGCACAUUCUUUCUCACAUGCAUCUAUCUUCUCAUAGGGCAUCUUAAGUACACAAAGUAUUUUGUCCGACUGGUACAGGUUUGCAGGCAUGACAUGGCCUUUGCGUAGGAAACGUCCAAAUAGUGUCAUCAUCGCGUCGUAGCAUUCUCUUCCCAAGUUGAAUUGAGCCUUCAAAGCCAUUACUUGUGCAAUUGCAUCCAGCUGACAAAGCUCAGUAUGCUCAUGGAGAGGACGUUUUGAAGACUCCAACAUUUCAUAGAAGGCCUUUGCAGAUUCCUCCAUCUCAUCUUCCGAAUCCCGAGCAUCAUCAAAGUCUUGCACCAUGUCUUCGAUCCCAGUACCAUGCUCGUCCGUGCGACGAUGGACCACCUCAGCUCUUGUGCGUUGUAUGGACUCACCUUGAAAUGUCCACACCGUAUAAUUAGGCUUAAAACCCCUCCUCUGCAGGUGUUUAAUCAUUACAGCCUCUGUCGUCUUUUUAUAGUUGUCGCAUCCAGGACAGGGGCAAUAGUUUCUUUCCUGGCCAUUUGCGAAUGCGGCUUUCACAAAUUCCUAUGUUUUUACAAACCAUUCUUUCGUCAUCUCUUUCUGACUAGGGUGACCGGUAUACAUCCACGCACGAUCACUCAUCUUGCGUAGCUACUAAAGACAAAAGAAAUAUAUUUAUAUAUAAUUUAGCAUUUAUAUUCAUUGGUUAAUCAGGUUCGCCAUUUUUAUUACGUCCAGGCAACCUACACGCUAAUAGGUAAAGAUAGGUCCGACUCCCACCUGAGUAUGUGUAGAUUGGGUUCGUUUUCCCAUGCUCUGCUCCGGAUCCAAUGCAAAAUUUCGGAAGCACCUCCCCGCUGUUCUCCUGAUACACGUCUCCGCAAUAAACAGAGAGGAUGUGCAUCCGGAGAACAAUGGGGGAGGCACUGACGAAAUUCCGCAUCGGAUCCAGAGCACAGCAUACAGGAAAACGAACCCAAUCUACACAUACUCAGGUGGGAGUCGGACCUAUCUUUACCUAUUAGCGUGUAGGUUGCCUGGACGUAAUAAAAAUGGCGAACCUGAUUAACCAAUGAAUAUAAAUGCUAGUUAUAAAUAUGGAAAGACAUGAAUAUUUAUAGAUGUCGCCCUUUCGAACGGGAGAGGCAUACUGGUCACGCAUACUCAUGAUUGAAGAAACCUAUAUAUAGAUAGCAAGUUUCAUCGGCACGAAGACAGGGACAGAGCAAAUUAAGGGGGUAGGAGGAGAAGUCAUUUGUGCUCACCAACAAAGUAGGGGCAGAGCUCGUCCAACGCACAUGGAGGUCGUCGAACAACUGCACAAUGAAAUUCACCCGAUCAACACAAAUAUGAUGUUUUUAUAAGAUAAUCAAAAAAUAUGUGACCUAACUCUUAUUUUCUUUUUUCUUUUUUCCUCUUAUUCUUCUUCUUCUUCUUCUUAUUCUGAUUUUCUUUUUUCUUUAUUCCUCUUAUUCUUCUUCUCCUUCUUCUUCUUUUCUUCUCUUCUUCUUCUUCUUCUUCUUCUUAUUUUCUUUUUUCUUUUUUCUUUUUCCUCUUAUUCUUCUUCUCCUUCUUCUUCUUUUCUUCUUGUCUUCUUCUUCUUCUUCUUCUUCUUCUUCUUCUUAUUCUUCUUAUUCUUCUUCUUCUUAUUCUUAUUUUCUUAUUUUCUUUUUUCCUCUUAUUCUUCUUCUCCUUCUUCUUNNNNNNNNNNNNNNNNNNNNNNNNNNNNNNNNNNNNNNNNNNNNNNNNNNNNNNNNNNNNNNNNNNNNNNNNNNNNNNNNNNNNNNNNNNNNNNNNNNNNNNNNNNNNNNNNNNNNNNNNNNNNNNNNNNNNNNNNNNNNNNNNNNNNNNNNNNNNNNNNNNNNNNNNNNNNNNNNNNNNNNNNNNNNNNNNNNNNNNNNNNNNNNNNNNNNNNNNNNNNNNNNNNNNNNNNNNNNNNNNNNNNNNNNNNNNNNNNNNNNNNNNNNNNNNNNNNNNNNNNNNNNNNNNNNNNNNNNNNNNNNNNNNNNNNNNNNNNNNNNNNNNNNNNNNNNNNNNNNNNNNNNNNNNNNNNNNNNNNNNNNNNNNNNNNNNNNNNNNNNNNNNNNNNNNNNNNNNNNNNNNNNNNNNNNNNNNNNNNNNNNNNNNNNNNNNNNNNNNNNNNNNNNNNNNNNNNNNNNNNNNNNNNNNNNNNNNNNNNNNNNNNNNNNNNNNNNNNNNNNNNNNNNNNNNNNNNNNNNNNNNNNNNNNNNNNNNNNNNNNNNNNNNNNNNNNNNNNNNNNNNNNNNNNNNNNNNNNNNNNNNNNNNNNNNNNNNNNNNNNNNNNNNNNNNNNNNNNNNNNNNNNNNNNNNNNNNNNNNNNNNNNNNNNNNNNNNNNNNNNNNNNNNNNNNNNNNNNNNNNNNNNNNNNNNNNNNNNNNGGCGGCGCAGGGGGUGGCGCAGGGGUCGGCGUCGGGGGCGGCGCAGUGGUGGCCGGCCGCCGGUGGUGCAGGAGGGAGGCGCGCAGGACGGUUUGAGAGAGAGACAGAGCGGGGAGUGGGGUAGUGGAGCGAGGGGUUGGCGGAUAACAGCCGUCAGCUUUGCCGUCUGCCCCCGGACGGGAAAGGGCCCAACGGCGGAUGGAAAAGGCCAGGCUGACACCAAAGAGCCCGUCCGUUGGACGUGGCCAGGCCCAAGGUCUAGUGGGACCCAUCUGCCCUCUUUGCCGUCUGCCCUAGGUCUCUUUGUCGUCCGCAGGCACAUGGCAAAGCCCUUACCGAUGGCAAAUGUUCUUUUUAUCAUCAGUGAGCCCUUUACCGUCCGCUUUAGGUCAGCUGACGACAAAGAGGGUCUUUGCCAUCAGCCAGCAGACGGCAAAGAACUCGCUGAUGGCAAAUUACUGUUUUCCAGUAGUUCACUUGGUGAAGUUUUUUAACUUAGGUGAAUCUGAUUCGCGGCUAAGCCCUCGAGUGAGAGGUUAGCUGUUCACUCGUGGAAGUUUUUUUAACCUAGGCGAAUCUGGUUCGCGGCUAAGCCCCUGAGUGAGAGGUUAUGUCUUCACUCGGAGAAGUUUAUUAACUUAGGCAAUUCUGAUUCACAACUAAGCCCCCGAGUGAUAGGUUAGCUCUUCACUCGGAGAAGUUUUGUAACUUAGGUAAAUCUGAUUCGCAACUAAGCACCAGAGUGAGAGGUUAGCUCGUCACUCAGAGAAGUUUUUAACUUAGGCGAAUCUGGUUCGCGGCUAAGUCCCAGAGUGAGAGGUUAGCUCUUCACUCCGAGAAGUUUUUUAACUUAGGCGAAUCUGGUUUGCGGGGAAGCCCCCGAGUGAGUGGUUAGCUCUUCACUCGGAGAAGAUUUUUAGCUUAGGCGAAUCUGGUUCACGGCUAAGCCCCCGAGUGAGAGGUUAGCUCUUCAAUCGGAGAAGUUUUUUAACUUAGGCGAAUCUGGUUAGUUGCUAAGCCCCCCGAGUGAGAGGGCACCUCUUCACUCGGAUAAGUUUUUUAAUUUAGGCGUAUCUGGUUCGAGGCUAAGCCCCCGAGUGAGAGGUUAGUUCUUCACUCGGAGAAGUUUUUUAACUCAGGCGAAUCUGGUUCGCGGCUAAGCCCUUGAGUGAGAGGUUAGCUCUUCACUCGGAGAAGUUUUUAACUUAGGCAAAUCUGGUUCACGGCUAAGCCCCUGAAUGAGAGGUUAGCUCUUCAAUCGGAGAGGUUUUUUUAACUUAGGCGAAUCUGGUUCACGGCUAAGCCCCCCGAGUGAGAGGGUAGCUCUUCACUCGGAGAAGUUCUCUAGACCGGAGUCGACAGAUAUAUUGUGGUAAACACAACUUCUCGCAAGUAAAUUGCUUUAAGGAAUCUCAUUCGUUACAUCAAAACAGUCAUAAAUCAGGCAUAAAAACGAUUGAGUAAGUCUGUGUUCCAUGCUCGCGGCUCAUUGAUCCUCUUCUCCAAACUGUAGAGUAUGUACGCUGUGUUGUUGAGGACCUUCGAGAUGAUGAAGGGUCCUUACCACACGGGUGCCAGCUUGGGUGGUCUCUUCUGAUGCACUCGGAGCACCAAAUCGCAUGUUUGAAACGUCCGAGUCCUAACAUGUCUCGCAUGGAACUAUCGCAAGUCUUGCUGGUAGAUUGUUGACCGAAUCAAAGCCAUCUCGUGCUCCUCCUCCAAGAGAUCAACUCCAUCCCGUCGAGCUUGUUCAACUUCGGCUUCUGAGAAGAACUCAACUCUAGGGGAAUUGUGAAGCAAAUCACUCGGAAGGACGGCUUCUGCACCGUAAAUGAGAAAGAAUGGAUACCAGCCAGUCGACCUGUUCGGUGUCGUUCUGAGCCCCCAGAGCACAGAAGGUAACUCGGUGACCCAAGCGCCUGCAGCAUGUCCAAUCUCCCUCAUGAGAAGAGGUUUUAACCCCCGAAGUAUGAGUUCAUUCGCUCCUUCAGCCUGGCCAUUUGUUUGGGGACGAGCAACGGAUGCAUAAUCCACUCGGGUUCAUUGAAUGGAGAAGAAGCUCUUGAAUUCGUCCGAGUCAAAGUUUGAUCCAUUAUCAUUGAUGAUGUCGUGUGGGACUCCAAAUUUGACACUAGUUUCUCUCAAGAAUUUGAGUGAAGUGCGAGCAUCUAGCUUUUUGAUUGGCUUGGCUUCUAUCCACUUAGUGAAUUUGUCGACUGCACCUAACAAAUGAGUAAAUCCGCCUUGCCCUCUACGAAAGGGUCCAACCAUGUCCAAGCCCCAUACGGCAAAAGGCCAUAUGAAAGGGAUUGUCUGCACAACAGAUGAUGGCUUGUGCGAUUUGUUGGAGUAGAAUUGGCAUCCUUCACAUCGGUCCACGAGCUCUUUGGCCAUUUCGCCUGCACGUGGCCAGAAGAAUCCAUCUCGAAACGCCUUAGCGAUGAUGGCUUUGGAGGAUGCAUGAUUAGCACAGGUUCCCGAAUAAAUUUCUUCAAAAAUCUGUCGGCCUUCCUCAAGGGAAAUGCACCGUUGAGCUACGCCAGACGCACUUACCUUGUAGAGCUGAUUUCCCAUGACUGUGAAAGCUUUGGAUCUGCGAACAAUUUAUCUAGCCUCAUCUUCGACUUUGGGCAGUUCUUGCCUCGGGAUAUAUGCAACAUACGACACUGUCCAAUCGGGCGUGACUACUCGAAUCUCCAUGAUUAAGUCGACAACUGCCGGGAUUUGAACUUCAGGCGGAUCAACUGCACGUGUGGGUUGAGGAAGUUCUUCGGUGAAUUGAUCUUCUUGGACUGAAGGGAUGUGUAUGUGCUCCAAACAUACACUAGGCACAAUUUUCCGAGUGGAUCCGAUUUUUGCCAACUCAUGAGCAGCUUGAUUCUUCAAUCGAGGAACGUGAUGAAGUUCCAAACCUUCAAACAUUUUCUCAAGUUUUCAGACUGCAUUGCAAUAUCCAUUCAUGGCAGGGUUUCUCACAUCCCACUCUUUCAUUACUUGAUUAACCACUAGAUCUGAGUCACCAUAUACCAUUAAGCGUCGGAUGCCGAGUGGAAUGGCCAUACGCAACCCAUAAAGGAGAGCUUCAUACUCUGCUUCAUUGUUAGAGGAAUCAAAGUGGAUCUGCAAUACAUAACUGAGCUUGUCGCCUUUUGGGGAUAUAAGAACUACACCUGCACCAGAACCACUCAGCAUCUUCGAGCCGUCAAAGAACAUAGUUGAAUGUGUCGAGUGAGUAGGGGCUGGUUGCUGUUGUUCCACCCAUUCAGCCAUGAAAUCUGCCAAAGCCUGAGAUUUGAUGGCUUUCUUGGCUUCGAACUUUAUGUCGCAAUAUAAUAGCUCCAUUGCCCAUUUUGCCACUCGGCAUGAUGCAUCUCGAUUGUGAAGGAUUUCAUACAAUGGGGCAUCACUGACCAUAGACACCGAGUGAUCUCGAAAAUAAUGAGCUACCUUCUUCACAGUCAUAUAAAUCCCGUAAAGGAGCUUCUGAUAGUGUGGAUCUCUGUUCUUGGAAGGAGUCAAUACCUCAGAAACAUAAUAUACUGGGCGUUGAAUCUUGUAAGCCUUGCCUUCCUCAUCUCGCUGGACUGUCAGGACUGUGCUGACAACUUGAUUUGUAGCCGCUAUGUAUAAGAGGAGUGGCUCUUUGUUGUACGGAGCAGCAAGAACUGGUUGGGUGGAUAGCAGAGUCUUUAACUCGACGAAUGCAGCUUCUGCUUCGGGAGUCCACUCGAAGGUAUCUGACUUCUUCUUGAGCCGGUACAAUGAUAAGGCUUUCUCUCCGAGUCGAGAUAUGAAACUGCUUAAAGCUGCCAAACAUCCUGUAAGCCUCUGGACGUCGUGCACUCGCACAGGGCUUCUCAUUCGGAUGAUUGCCCCGAUCUUUUUGGGGUUAACAUCGAUUCCUCGUUCGGAAACAAGAAAACUGAGUAACUUGCCGCUGGGGACUCCGAAUGUGCAGUUAGCUGGGUUGAGCUUGAUAUCGUACCUUCGAAGGUUGGCGAACGUUUCAGCCUAGUCAGUCAGCUGGUUGGAACCUUUGCGUGACUUGACUAUGAUAUUGUCCAUGUAUGCCUCCACGUUCCGACUGAUCUGGCCGAGGAGGCAUUUCAGAAUCAUGCGCAUAAAAGUGGUUCCUGCAUUUUUGAGACCGAAUGACAUAGUGAUGUAGCAGAAACACCCGAAAGGGGUGAUGGAGGCUGUUUUUAUUUCAUCUGGGCCAUACAGACGGGUCUGGUGGUACCCAGAGUAAGCAUCUAAAAAAGACAAUCGCUCACAUCCGACAGUCGAGCCGACGAUCUGAUCUAUGUGGGGGAGUGGGAAGUGGUCCUUCGGGCAAACCCGAUUGAUAUGCUUGAAGUCGAUGCACAUUCAGAGUGACUUGUCCUUCUUAGGCACCAUGACAACAUUCGCGAGCCAAUCAGAGUGGUAGACCUCGUGAAUGAACUUGGCCUCUAGGAGCUUAGCCACCUCCUCUCCGAUUGCUUUCCUUUUAUGCGUGGCGGACCAACACAGAUGUUCCUUGAUAGGUCGAGCUUUGGGGUCGACCCUCAGUCGGUGCUCAGCCAGUUCCCUGAGUACACCAGGCAUGUCAGCGGGCUGCCAUGCAAAGAUGUCCCAGUUCUCACGGAGGAACUGGAUGAGCUCGACUUCCUAUUUAGGGUCAAGGGUUGUUGAGAUAUUGGUCGGGGCGGCUGUAGGAUCCGUCGGGUGGAUGUUGACCUUCUUGAUUUCGCGUGCCAACUGGAAUGCAGACUCGAAAGCUCGCUUCUUCGCGCGCAUCAGUUCGGCGGGAUCUGCUGUCUGCCGGUACUCAUCGAGCUCUCCCAUUUCCAUCUACUAGUCGGCGAUCUUGGAGCCCUACUUCAAACAUUCUUCUGCUCUCUACCGAUCGCCAGUGAUGGUGAUGACUUCCUUCUGUCCUGGCAUCUUCAUUUUCAAAUAAACUAACAUGGUCGGGCCAUGAAACGUACAUACACUGGUCGCCCAAGUAUCGCGUGGUAGGCACUCUGGAAGUCCACCACCUCGAACAUGAGUUUCUCCUUGCGGAAGUUCUAGUCGGAGCCGAAGACAACAUCCAACGCGAUCUGACCGAUUGAAACAGCCUUCUUCCCUGGGAUCACUCCAUGGAACUACAUAUUGUUGUCGCUCAACUUGGACAUCGGAAUGCCCAUCCCUUUGAGAGUUUCGGCGUAGAUGAUGUUCAAGCCGCUCCCUCCAUCCAUCAACACCUUGCGGAGUCGAACUCCUUCUACCACCGGGUCGGCAACAAGAGCCUGACGUCCCGGAGUGGGAACAUGUAUCGGGUGAUUCAACUGGUCGAAGGUGAUAGCAGCCUGUGACCACUUGAGAUACUUCGGGGUAGAAGGAGCUGCCAUGUUGACAUCUCAGUUGCCCACUUUCAGUCGACUCUUGCUUUCGACAUUAGCGAAGAUCAUCAGAGUGGCAUGGACCUUUGGGAAGUGGUCUUCUUGUUCUUCGUCCUCUUUCUCUUGGUCUUUCUCACUCGAUUGAUCCUCUCUGAACCUCUGGAUUAAAAGUCUGCACUGCCGGGUGGUAUGUUUAGGCACGAUGAUGUUGCCUUCUUCAUCUAUCUUCAUGUGAAUCGCACACGGCUGAUCAAGAACAUCAGGUCUCGACUGCUUUUUGAAUUUCUUUGGGGGGAAUUGUCUCUUGCCCUUUCCCUUGAACUUCCCCGCUCCCAGAGUGGUCGCUUCUGCCGGAGGAGUGUGUUCUACCUUCUGCUUCCGCUUUCGGUUGGCAUCUGCAUUAACUUCUUUGCCUUUGCCUCUAUGAAGGCGGUCUUCUUCUUCUCCAUUGGCAUAGAGGGUUGCUAUCCCCAUCAUCUUGCUCAAAAACAUAUCUCCUGUCCGACCGAACUUGAAGUACAACUCGCGGUACCUGACGCCUACCUUGAAAGUGCAAACUUCUUGAUGCCCUGUGACGUUCUCCAUUGUGUGGUGAAGAGUGGUCCAGCGCUGGAUAUAAUCACGCAAAGACUCACUCGGAUUGUGCAUACAAUGUUGUAGCUCUGAGAGACCAGCAGGGCGCUUGCAGGUGCCCUCGAAGGUCUUGAUGAACAGUCGGGCCAAAUCUGCCCAGCAGUAUAUGCUUGAUGGAGCUAGUUGAUUCAGCCACGCACGGGCCGAACCAUCCAGCAUCAGGGGCAAGUGCUUCAUUGCGAUGUUGUCAUUGCCGCCACCAAUCUGAAUUGGCACUCGGUAAUCAUCUAGCCACGUCUCUGGCUUGGACUCACCAGUGAACUUGCUUAUUCCGGCCGCCAACCUGAAGUUGGGGGGAAUACGAGCAAAGCGGAUUGCCCGACUGAAACACUCAGGCCCACAUAUGACAGAGCCACUUCCACUCGGACGAUCACCGUCGUAUCCAUCAUGAUGGGCUCCGCCUCUAUCAACUCUCUUCUGAGUUAUAUAGUCCCUUACAUCACGCCUCUGGUCGCGGUCGUAGCCCACUGAUCACCUUUCGUCGUUCCGCCGGGGCGCAUACAAACCACUCCGUGGAGGAGAGCGCGAGCGAUGACGAUCUCCACGAUUGAACCGGGUGGAAGCGAUCUUCACGGUCUUCUCGGUGAUCUCCUCCUCUGCGACGCUGAGGAGAACCUGGAUUGUAAACCGACUGAACUUUGUCCGGUCGUACAAAAUUGAUGUGCAGUUUGUUGUGAGACUGAGAGACAUCGGAAUUCUCCUGCUGCGCCGCCUGCCACAAGGCAUGGAUCUGCUCCACUCCUCCGCCCGCUGAUGAAUUUGACGUCUGGAUGGAGUCUGCAAUCCUUGCGGACGCAGCCAAGUUUAGGAUAGGCGUGCGGAAUAUGUCGAUGUUGUCGUGAUGAGAGCGCCGACCGGAUGCUGGGGGCGCAGAUGAUGACGCGCAUCCCAAGUCCCUCCGGUUUCCCGCUUGUCCCGAUGGUUCCUUGGCAGGCUCUCGUGUGAGAUGGCCAUGAAAACCUCCCCUGCAGGGCUGCGGUUCUCACAAUUGGAAGGAGGACCAAACAGAUCUGACAUCGAGUGAGAUGUAGCACACGGAGGUGUAGCAGGUUUAAUUGCUGCCACCUGUGGCGAAGACGCUUGACGCCGAAUGCAUGAUGCACCCAGCGCUGGAGCUGUGAGCGACCGGAUCGCUUGUUCCUACAUGCGAUGGGGAACGCAGUCGACGACAGAGUCGACGGUUGGCGAAGAAGGACUCCGCUAGAACUAGCGCGGAAGAACGUCGCCCUGCGGCCUGGAAGCGCCUCGACGUCGAGAGGCGCCUCCUGAAGCCAUGCCGAAUCGUCGACGAGUGUGCCGAACAUGAUCCCGUGACCAAUGCACAAACCACCGCCGGAAAGCAUGGUGAAGAGGAUCAAAUGCAAACUUGCCGGAAGUCGCCUAGACGCCUGCCCCAAGGUGGGCGCCAACUGUCGUGGAUAUAGGACUGGCAGUAGUUGUGUAGGGUACAAAAUUAGAGGGCAGAGUCCUAGCUACGGCAAGGUUGUAUGAGUUCAGGCCCCUCUUCGGUGGAGGUAACAAUCCUACGUCUCAGUGCUCUUGGAGCUUUGGUGUCGAGUGGAAUAUGAAUGUUACAGAAUGCGAACCCGUGUUCCAGAGGGGAGGGGUGGCUUAUAAAGAGUGCGCUACCCCUGAUAAGUGUCUAGCCUUCAAGGGUGUAAUAAGCGGGAUUGGAUGCAUGCGUUACAGGUAACGUAUGGCAUAGAGGACAUUAACUACAGUAGUCUAACGUCUGACCAUUAUUUCCGCUAGAGUGGCUUCUGAUCUUCCAUGUCGACUAGCUUCUGGUACUUACCGAGUGGAAUCCAGUCGUCGAUUGUUAAGUAACCUUCCGAGUGGUCCUUUACCGAGUGGAUCAGAGGUUGUCUUAAUACAGUCGGUAAGCAUUUUGUGGUCCUUAAGCUAAUAAUGAGGUGCCCUUAGGUAGGACUUAUAGGUCAGGCCUAUGACCUUACCCUAAGGCUAUAACCCCAUCAAUGGCAAGUGUCACAUUCUCCAAUAUAGCGUGCAAUGUCUUGCUUCAUGUUUGACCACAAGAAUCUUUGGAGGAUGUCUUGGUACAUCUUGGUACUACUUGGGUGAAUAGAUAAAGGUGUAUCAUCGGCUUCUUUCAUCACCCUCUGAGUCAUAUUGAAGUUUUCCCUGUGACUCGGAACGAAUACGCGACCCUUGAAGUACAAGCAUCAUCAUCAUCAAGAGUAAAGUAAGAGGGUUUACCUUCUACAAGAUAGUCUUUAAUCUUUUCGACUUCGUCGUCAUAGUGUUGAAUAGUUUUCAUGUCGCCCACGAUAUCUGGUUUAGCAACCAGGUUAUUAAGGGAACCCUGGUUAAUAACAUGGAGGUUCAUCUUGCGGAACUCUUUAUGAGGGUGAGCAAGAUAACCAUGGGGAACAAUAUGAAGGUUCGGCUUGCGCAAUUCUUCUUGAAGAAGGAUCUAAACCUUAUGAACCUGGAGGUGGUUGCAAUAUGACUUGCGGAUCAACACAUCAUCCAUUACAUUAGCUUUGCCAAGUGUAUAAGAACUACCCAUGUUAAAAUGUUAUAUGCUCUCCAUGCAUCUCUGUUGAUCGAGUUUCAGAUCCGGCUGAGUAAACAUGUACUUUAGACUUUGUUGAUCGGUGUAGAUCUCACAACGAUUACCGAGAAGCUUAUGUGGCCAUAGAAAGAACAAAUACAUAACUGCUGCAAGUUCAAGGUCAUGAACUCGAUAGUUCUCUUCAUGACCAUGCAACUAUCGCUGGCCAUAGAUGAUCACUCUGCGGUCUUGCAUUUGGACACAACCCAAUCCUUGAUGAGAAGCGUCACAAUAAAUGACAAAGUCCUUGAGUGUAUCCGAGGGAGCAAGCACUAGAGCUGAUAUCAGUUUGUCCUUGAGUGUCUAGAAAGUUUCUUGACAUUUAUCUAUCCACUCAUACUUAAUACCUUUAUAAAGCAUAUUGGUAAAGGGGUUUGCAUAGAGAAGUUCCCUACAAAGCGAUGGCAAUAGCUGGCGAGUCCGAGAAAAUAUCGGACUUGCUUGACAUUCUUUGAGGGAUUCCAGUCCAGAAUAGCCUGAACUUAUUCCGGGUUGACUGCAAAACCAUCCUUGGAGAUCACACGACCAAGGUAGGUCACUUCGUCCAAGUAGAAUUUACACUUGGAAUACUUGACAUAUAGGUGAUUCUACCAAAGCUUUUCGAGUACAAGAUGAAGAUGUUCCACAUGCUCUUCUUUAUUCUUGGAGUACAUGAGGAAAUCAUCUAGAUAAACCAUGACAAAUUUAUCGAGGUAGUCCAUGAAGAUAUAAUUCAUCAAUUGAGAGAAGGCAGUUUUUGGGAUAUCCUCGUAUGAACCAUAUCGAGUAACGAAGGCAGCUUUUGGGAUAUCCUCUUCGCAAACACGGAUAUGGUGGUAUCCCAACCUGAAGUCGAGCUUAGGGAAGAUUGAGGAACCAGUAAGUUGAUCAUCCUUGUUCUCGAACCAAAUGAUUCGUUCCAUCCUUCUUCUUAACAAAGAGAGAAGGUGCUCCCCUAGCAAAGGAACUUGGACGAAUGAAUACACAAUGAAGAGAUUUGUCGAUUUCUUCCUUAAGUUCAAGGAGUUCAUGUGGUGGCAUUUUGUAGGGUCGAUUGGCGAUAGGAGUUGUGACUGGUACUAAGUCAAUGACGAAUUCAACAACUCUCACAGGGGGGUCCCUAGGAGUUCUUCUGGAAAGACAUUUGGAAAGUCACUAACAACUGGAAUUCUUUCAAUCCCCUCAAGAGGUGCCACAUUUAAUGCAUUCAAGGCAUAUAGUCGGGCUUAGGCACCUUGAAAAAGAUGAGCAUGGUAGCUUACAAUGUCAUUUGAAAGAUGUAGGAGGUGGACGGUUAUGGUGGCACAAACGAUUGAAGUUGUAUGAGCUUUCAACCAAUCCAUUCCCAGAAUGAGAUCAAUAUUGGAAUAGUUCAGCAUUAUUGGAGAGGCAAGGAAUUCCAACCCUUCAAUUUCAAUGGUACAUUGAGGCCAACCAUGGAGGUUCGAUAUUAUCCCGUGUCGUGUUUACCACUAUUGGAAUGUUCAUAUCUUUACAUCUAAUGUCAUGCAUGUAUGCAAAAAAAUUGACAUGAACGAAUGUGAUGCUCGUGUAUCAAACAAUACACAAGCUAGUGCUAAGUUAACAAGAAGUGCACCCAUCAUAGUAGCAGGCUAGUCUUGAGCUUGAUGGAGUUCAACGUUGUUGGCCUAACCAUGUGUAACGUCCAUGACGCGACACUAUCCGUAUUUGGGGACGAUGCCUUAAUAUGGAUAGAGACGCAUCUCUGUCAAAUAUCUGUGGUACUUGAACCUGUGUUGUUGUAGUAAUUUGUGAGCCAUGAGAAUUCAGCAAUAUCGUAACCAAUAUAUUAAAACUAAUUAAGUUAUUUGGGUAAGGCAUGGUUAAGUGGUGAGGUUGAAGUAGCACUAAGAAUUAUUUGGUGGCUAACUUACGAUUCAAGAUUAAGACGAGUAUCUACGCAAGUCGGUCGCAAAUUAAUUAUGAUCAAUAAGUGAUCAUGAACACCUACUUACGUCAAUCAUAACCCCACUGUGUUCACCUUUCGAACUACCUCGAAAAGAGGCGGUCACGGUUACGCACACAGUUGAUUUGGUUUUACUUAAUUUUACUUCCAAUUUGCUAUAACUAUAUGUCAAACAAUUUCCAAGUUGCCACAUAACUUCUAGCAUGGAUCUCCAAAAUAUUUAACCUUGCACGGGUGCUCCAACUAGUCCAUCACAAACAAUCAAAAUCUACCCUAGAGAGAAAACCUCAACCUCGAGAUAGCCCAAGGUUUCCUCCAUAUCUGAGUGCACACGACAUUUUCUAAGAGUAAAACAAAUCUAGUAAGACUGCCUGACAGGCUAGAUCCCAAUAGGAGCCGCACGUAUCUAUUUUUCAGGGCACUACUGGAUGGGCAAGAUGUCAGGUUGGCUGAAACCCCGGGUGGCCAGGGGGUGCCAAACAUUGCCCAGUUUGGACCAACAUUCAUGAGGAGCACUAGCCCUGGUUGUUGAUUAAGAUCCUCGGGGUAGCUAUUCCCUAUGCAUUUUUAUUAAGUUGUUUAGCAAAUAUAAUACCAAUAUUUGUCCUUGUCGGAACAGUUUUAACCGAAGACAAAUUAUCAAGGGGGUCCCCAUAAUAACCCCAAGCAUGUUAGGAUCGCUCAAUAUGGAACAUCACACUAGUAACCGGAAACUAGGGCAAUGAAAGUGGAACAAAACACCAAGAAGAAGGCCAAACAUUUGGCCAGUACCAAAUGUAUAUGCUCAUUAAAUGAAAUAGCAAUAAUAAGAUGAUGUCCAAAAUAUCGAUGUCAACACAUGGAUGACCAUGCAACUGCAACUAGUAACGCUAUAAGAAGGGUUGAGCAAGCGCUAACUUAGCCAAUCAAUGUUUGCUGGGAAGUGGAGGGGUUAGAGGCUUAUCAUGACAUUUUUGGACGCUUGAGAUUCAGGUCAUUGGCAGCGAUAGUAAAUGACAUAAACGAGACACCUAAGCAUAACAAAAUUAGAAAUAAUAUAAAGGUCAACGAUCAUUUUGCCUCGCACUUCUUCUAGGGGAUAAAACUCUUGAUCUUCAGGGACGUUCUCAACAAGACCCUCGUACUCAUAAUCGUCUCUCAACAAUACCCAACAGAAAAUACAACAUCCAAUGGACACACGGCCACGACACCAUGCUCAAACAAUAUGAUGCAUGAAUAUGAAGUGAAUGAAGCAUGGCAAUGCUACACUAGUCAUCUUUCUCAUGCAAUUAUUUAAUUAUUAUCAUUCUGAACCGAACCUCAAGAUUAGUUACUUGGACAUGGAAUAAGAUUGCAAAAAAUGAAUGCAUCACAAGAAAACGAUACAAACGCAUAUAAAGAACGUCGCAAACCGAGUUACGGAUAUCUCAGAACUCUCACGAGAAUGUACGGAAGGCAAUGAUGAUAAACCAGAAUUUUAGAGAUGCUAUGCGCAAUUCCUUGGCAUCCCAAGUAUGCCAUUGGAUUGGGAACAAAAUUAUAGGUGAAAUGGAACUAAAGAUCAUGCAAAACAAAGGGGUACAACUCUCACAAAGUGCAAAACAAUUCUACAAGCAAUUUGUCAAAAAACAGCAACAUGUCACUUUAUACACACAUAAACUAACACCUACAACAGGCUAACACACUAAACCAAGACAUGGAGAUGAAGUAAACAUGAUGCACCACAACUCAUACAAAAAACAACAUGGAUAGGAGCAUGGAUCAAUGCCAAUCAAGCUCACAAUAUGGCAUAAAACAUCAAAGAUUAUGACUUAAUGUACAUAUCAGUUUCUCACAUGUAGAGUUAAUAUGAUGGCAUAUUGACAAGAAUGAAACUUUAUGCUACACGAACUUUCAUGGCAUGAAAUUUAAUAGGGCAAUAGAGAGCAACAAGUACUACAAUGAACACCAACUAACAAUAAGAAAAUAUUGCAUAGAUUAAUUGAUAGCAUCCUCUCAACAUGUCAUGGUGAACUUAGAGGAUUCCCAGACUUAUAAAAAUUCACAAGGUGAAUUCACAACAGGUUACAUCAGCAUGGAAUGUUCGACGCGAAGAAUAUCUAUGAUGAAAAAUCUAUGUUGCAAAGCAUUGGCACCAUUUAAGAAAGGGCAACAUGCUCUAUCUUUCACUCAUUUGCACCUGUAGAAAGAACCUACAGAUGCUUAUCAAAUGACAUGGAAACACAACUACUUGGUAACAUAUUCCAGACUUAGUCAUAUUUCACCCUACCAAAUCAGCAACAGUAACAUAGCAUGUUGAUAGAAAGAUUUCCACAUGUAAAGAAGCUUUAUCAUGGCAAGGAAAAAAUAUGAGGCCUAGCACACAUAACAAACAACAAAUUUCAGGUUGACAAGUUUAAGAAAGGUUACAAGAAUUGCUUUAUACAAAAUUAACAAAAGACCAUCAUGGUGAAAAUAUCAUGCACAUCAAUUUUCAUGAAAGCCAAAACUAAUGUGAGAGAUGAAUUCCUUGGAUUUUUAUACCCCACAUUCAUAUAUCAUAAGCAUAGGUUACAGUAGAAAAUCAUACCAGAAAUCCACAAACAAAAUCACACCAACUAGGUAUAACCCAGUAUAUGCUAGAUUUGGCAUAUGCCCAAGUUGGACACUCCCAGAUUGGCAACCUUACCUAAAUGGCAUGAAUUCAAAAACCAACGAAUAAAAAUAAAACAAACAACAAAAUAAAAUACCCAGCGGUCCACUAGUCAGCCACACAAGGCCCGUGAGAACUUGAAAAAUGGGCCGAGGGCCCACUGUGAGCCACACUGUAGUUUUUUUACCAUCUACUGUAGGGAAUCACCCCACAACCUUUUCUUUUAUUCCAUUAAAAAGAGAGUAUAUGUACGUGAGAAUAUUAGAAUAUACAAAGGGGAUGGGGAAGAGAUACAAACCUCAAGGAGGUAGAAAGGAGAUCCAUUUCAAAAGAUCAUCCCUAAAUCUAGCCUUAAUCCUAUGAGCAAAAAGGGAGAUAUCAUGUGUGAAGCUAGACUUCCAUUUACUGAACCUGGGACGCUCAUUGUUGAAAAUCCUUGCAUGUCGGACUGUCCAAAUGUUCCACCAAUUAGUGAACUCUACUUCAGAGAAAAACGGAUGCUGAAAAUCUUUCCUGGCUGCCAAUGAAGUGGUCCACAUGGAAGUACCCUACAAGGUGAUCUGAAGGUAGUUCCAAACCCUGAUGUUGAAAAGGCGGUUGAAAAAGAGAUGAUCCCUAUCUUCUUUGACCCUAGCAUGAUAGAGAACACAUAGGUUUGAAUCAGAAACUUUCAUGUGACGGCGUUCAAGCAUAUCCUGGGUGUUGAUCCUGUCCAUGAUUAGCAUCCAGGCAAACAUCUUGAUCUUCAUGGUGUAGCAACUCUUCCAAAUCCAACAGAGCAAAGGGUUGGAAUCAAUGGGCAGAUGCACAUGGAGGUAGUACUUUUUAGCAGAGUAAGCUUUAUAGUCACUACUCCAGAGCCAAAUAUCAUUGCAAGAUGGAUCUCUAUCAAGAUUCUGGUGUAAGAAGGUGACUGAUUCCAACUCUUGGCGGGCCCUGUCAGAGAGAGGCAAGUUAAACAUGUUGAUCAUGUUAUUUGUUUGAAAAGCUUGGAAAACCUCCUCAGAAGUGCAGAAAGUGUCAGUAACAAAGGAGAACAAUCUCUUGAAAAGAAGAGCAAGAGGCAUGUUAGAAUCUCCGAUUUCCCAGGAAUCAGACAAAAAAGGAAGGUGUCUCCCUUAUUUGGCUGGACAUAGGUGACAACUCUAAAGUUGUCCAUCCUCUUACAGAUGUCCUUCCACCAGAAAGAUCCACAAAGGGAGGUACCAUGAGGAACUGUGUUGUGGUAAUAUGUGUUCCAUAUUAAAUCAACCCAGGGUACAUCAGCUUUGCUUAAGAACUUAUCCACAUGUUUAAGCAACAGAGCCUCAUUUUGGACAAACAGAUUCAUAAUCCCCAAGCCACCCUUCAUUUUUGGCCUGCACACUAAGUCCCAGGCUGAAAGGGAAGGGGCAUGGUCUUGGUCGUUCUUCCUCCAGAGACAUUGUCUUUGUAUCCUUUCCAACUUUUUAAGAAUCCCUGGUGGUAUAUCCACACUGUAGAAGAAAAAAAUGGGAACAGACGACAAGGCUAAAUUGAGAUAUUGCAAGUGUCCCCCGUGUGCCGGGAAGGAGGAGCUAGUAGAGAGUGUCCUUUCCAUACUGUCUACCAAAGUCAUUAGAUCAAUAAUUCUUGGACUGGUUGUCCCAAUAGGCAAACCAAGAUAGGGGAAAGGUAGUGAUCCAACCUUGCAACCAAUAGAGGCAGCAAGCCUCUGAAGUUCUCGCUGAUCAAUGUUGAUAGGUAACACAACAGACUUGUGAUAGUUUACUUGGAGAACUGUGGAUUGGGAAAAAGCAGAAGCAUCUUUUUGAAUUCUAGUAGCUGAGACUCCACAGCAGGCAAAAAGAUAAGAGUGUCAUCUGCAUAUUUGACAAUAGGAAAGUAUUUGUCAUGACAGGGUAUUGGCAGCUGAAUGACGCCAUCCUGCAACAAUUGAUUUACCAAAGUUUGGAGAAAAUCAGCAGCAAUGGCAAAAAGGAGAGGGGACAUGGGAUCCCCCUGCCUGACCCCCUUCUUAUACAUAAUUUUUUACCAGGAACUCCAUUAAGAAGAACAGAAGAGGAGCUAGAACUGAGCAACUGCUACACCUAUAAUAUCCACUUAUCAUUAAAACCUUUGUGCCUAAGAAUAUGAAAAAUGAACUCAUGUUCCACUGAGUCGAAGGCCUUUUUCAAAAUCCAGUUUGAGGAUGACAAUGGGUUUUUUGGAGUGGUGGCAUUGGUGUAGGUAUUCCAGUGUCCGUCCAACACAAUCUUGUAUGGUUGUGGACUUGAUGAAACUAUACUGAUUUUUAUGGAUGCAUUUCAUGAUUUGUAACUGCAGUCUAUUAGCAAUCAUUUUGGAUAGGAAUUUAAGCCACACUGGAGUUAAUCCACACAAAGGAGAAAAAGGGGGCUCGGGGGGAGGGGUCGAACCCAAGCCCUAUCAGAUGGAAACAAGGCAUGAGUGAGCUACCACUAGGCUACGAGCGGGGAUCUAACAGGGAGGGGUUUCCACUCCUCUUGUACAGACAAGCCCCUGGGUUGUACCUCUAUGAGACAAGGAACAUGGUGAUGAUGCCGGCGAGUCCUCUAGUGAUCACCGGAGCUCGUGACCUGUAGCGGGGGUGCGGAAUCCAAGGGGUGUUCGGUUCCUAUAUUGAGCGAAUGCUAUGAGGCUAGCGGGGCUGGGUUUCGACCUCAAGCAAAAGAUUCACCCGAGCCAUGGCGUUGUCGAAAACGGGGCUCUGCGGACCCAAAAAGAUUCGAACACCGGGGUGCUCUCACUGUCGAAACCUAUUCUGCCUCUCAACCUCACGGCGACUCUCCAACGGUUCGAGCUAAGGGGGACGAACAAGAACACUCGCACAGUUCACCCAGGUUCAGGCCACCUUGCGGUGUAAAACCCUAGUCCUUCUUCUCUGGAUUGCUUGAGGUGGAAGAUGAGUACAAAAGGGAGGGGNNNNNNNNNNNNNNNNNNNNNNNNNNNNNNNNNNNNNNNNNNNNNNNNNNNNNNNUUCCCUAAUGGAGUUGGUGGAUCCCCUUGCUAUGGAGGAAAGACCUCCCUCUUGUACAUGCAUUGGUCCUCUUCCCCCAAAAAACACACACUUGGCGGGAAGGGUUGCCACAACGACCAUUUUGAAAGGGGACAAGAUUGUGGCCUACCUUGAAAAAGGUGGUCUUCGCCUGUUAAAGCUCUUCGCCAUGACGCGCUGGUUAGCUCAAAGGCUAUGCCCUGCGCCGCAGGCACGCGAGCGUGGGUACCCCCAGUGCGAGGACCCCGAGAGUAUCCCCUGAGCCCAUGACGUGCACGAACCGGCCUACCGGAUAGCAAAAUAGUGCUGGCUCUCACCGUCUGCGAGCCCGACAGAACACGUGGUGCACGGCAAGGCAUGAGGCGCCCCACCUACCCAAAGCGCUUUGGCAUCUUACCCGGCUGACAUAAAGUAGGCACACAGGGUGGAGCCGUCAUCACUCACCUUUAUGCCACACCCAGCUUUCUGCUUCUUCUUCCUGUGCGCAAGACUCCGUCACAUCCAAUCUUUGCGCAAAUCACCUCCUUGCUCCACUCCCGGCUCCGGACCAUGGAUGGUACCUACUAGUAAGAAGGGAAAGGUCAUAGCCUUUGCCGUGAGCUCUGUUGCUGUCAGGCCUGCUCUCAUGCCAUCUCGUGUCUUUGAGGAUGAGGACUUGGGCCCGGUGCUCCCCUGGUGGGGGUGACUGUGGGGACCCUAACUACGAGUCAAGACCGCCGAAUGAACGUGUAUAGUGAUCCCAGAGAUCAAUGCUCACUUGACACACAUGUAUUGAAUAACAAGAGUCUUACAUCCAUAAAUAACGUGUGAUACAAAUAAUGAUCAUCAUGAUCAAGUCUUAUGUAGAUAGGGCCUUAGUGGCCAGUCAAACCAACUCAACUAAUAGUGGAAAUCUUGGUAGAAUACGUGAACCCAUGCCAUCAACCUUAACCAACAAGCAUUCUGACGGGGAAGCGUCCUAGUUUGCUUGUCCAUCUCUAACAAUGAAUUCUUCCACAUACUCCGGUUCUUCCAUGUCUGUUCAAAUAAAAUAACCAGUGGCAAGCGAAUGAGUACCUUUAAUGUACUUGCAAGAAACCCAUGAUGUGGAACAAGGAAAUAAUGCAGCAUAAUACUCCCUCCGUUCCUAAAUAAAAGUCUUUUUAGAGAUUCAACUAAUGGACUACAUACGGAUGUAUAUAGACAUACUUUAGAGUAUAGAUUCAUUCAUUUUGCUUCGUAUGUAGACACCUAGUGAAAUAUCUUAAAAGACUUAUAUUUAGGUACGGAGGGAGUAUAUCUUAGUAUGCAGCCUUUGCGGAUAGCAGGUUUUUCCUUAAUGCGGUAACAUGGUCAAGUGUAGGUAUAUCCAUUCAUCACAAUGUAGAUGGUAAUCAUACGGAGAGGUUACAAAUAUCAACAUAUCUGUUGAAGGUUUAACAUCCCAUGUUCACCCUUCAUGCCAAGUCAUCCAACUUGACAUGCAUCAUCAUUCUCAACCACACACCCAUUCACACUUGGUUUACGCGAAAAUGACUUUAUGUAGUUUAAGCGGGAUUAGCCAGCUCUCCUUGAAUGUGGACACGGUUAUUAGAAUAUUUUUCACUCUGUAGAGGUUGCGGGUUAUACGCACGAGAUCCGGGAAACUUUCAUGUCAUCCACGACUCGCGGUACGUAAUAUACCCGAGGUAAGUACCCGAACAAUGCCUUUCCCUGUCGACUCUAGACACAGAGUCCACUCGACUCGUACCCAACCCACAUGAUGUACGUCUUACGGGCGCCAACUCUAGACCAUAUCAUCCAUGCAGGGACCAACGGUGUGCCCGGAACCUGUAAAAAUAGCAUAGACACCCUUUCUCGCACGACCCCGUCCCGAGGGUGACCAUAUCACUCCCGCCACUAGUAAUGCGGGAUCUUUGCUAACACCGACCAAAGUAAUCAACAAAGCCCCAUCCCAUAAAAGGGUACCAUGUUCGCACUUGAAAGGUUGGGAUGGUCAGCAAAUCUUAAAUUUAAUCCCAUGUUUGAACCACACACACAAAACCUUUUCCGGUACACCACUUCUUUCUCAAGUGGUUACCAUCUCAGCAGCAUCACCCUCGGUCAUUGGUGACACCCGACGGGGUUUUCAGGAAGUCUUUUUAAUCACCCUUGUGUUACCAUCACCAUGCAUAUGGUCAUCCUAUGCGUAGCACUACUAUCUACUCGUCAACUUUCCAUCAGCAUGACCCUCGCAGAUGGUAAGGUCGUACUCAAAUGCAAGUGCUCAAGAGGAGACAUCAGUAACACCAUACCGAGGAUUUACCGAUCGAUCAUGAUCAUAUGCAUCGGUGUAAAGUAAUCAACAUGGCAUGCAUCAAAUAUUUUCUCACACAUGGUCAAAGGGCUACUUGCCUUGGUCAAUUAAGUAUCCGGGGUCUUCGAGGUCUGCAGGUCCAAGUCCUUCGUCCAACACUGAACUAUCGUAAAAAUUAUAAUAGCCAUAAUAAGAACCACAACCAAUAACAGAGCACAAACUCACAUCUAAAAUGUUACCCUACUCUAUGGAAUUCUAACAUUAUUUCUAAAAGUAUUUGUUUCUGGUUUUGGAGUGGAAAACUAUUUUUAAAACUAUUUUUAAGAGAGGCUAAAAUACUUAAACUAGGUUUUAAAAUAAAACUAGGUAUAGAAGUUUUUAUAAAAAAUUCACAAGCUAUAUUAUUAAAUACUACAUAAUUUUACCAGAAUUAUGGUGGAAAAAGAUUUGAAUUUGGAUGAAUAUUUAAUCCUGUGACAAUUCAUUUAGAAAAUACAAAAAAAGGGCCAGCUCACUAGACACGCUGAAAGUGCGUUAUAUCGAUUAGAGGGGGGGUGAAUAGGAGAUUUUUUGAAUUUCAUCACUGAGAAAUUCCUUUUGAGGAAAUUCCUCACUGAUGACUAACUUACAACGGAAACAGUAAAGGAUCAGAUGUGCAAAGUUUCACAACAACAGUUUUGCAGAGUGAAGAUUGUGAAAACAGAUUGCACUAUGAGCAGGCACGCAGAAUACAGAUGAGGAUUGACUAACGUGAGGAAUUUGGGGUUGAGGUAAUUCAGAGAAAGUCUUCAACAAAUUCUUCAAACAGUCGUAGUGAAAUUCAUCAACACAUAAUAUGAGGAAAGUAAGGAGUUGAGGAAUUAGAACCCAUUUCUCAGUGAAGGCAGUCGUUGAUGACCCAGUUCCAACUGUUGUGACAGUCGUACAUCUGGUUCGGUAUUGAAACCAAAGGACACACAGUCCCGGGACACACAGUCCCUACCAAAAUCUCCUUGAGCUAAGGACACACAGUCCUCGCCCAACACUCGUGGUAAGUCUUCAGGGCAGACUUCCAAACCCUCACAAACUUGGUCACCCGGCGAUCCACAAUUGACUGCUGGAAAGCUCUAGACCAUGACGCCUAACUGUCUAGAGGAUGCACAGUCCUCAAAGGUAAAAGGCUUCAGUCCCACACAGAAACAACUUCUUCAGUGAUGCUCAAUCACUAGGUUUGGUUUGUGGUUUCGGUGUAUGAUGUAUUUCCUCACUGAUGAAUUACUCUCGAAGGCUCUGAGGAAUUGGGUUGCUCUUAUGACAAGUGUCAGUUUCUAACGGAGCAGCCAACCAGCUAGUGGUUGUGGGGGUGGCUAUUUAUAGCCUGGGAGCAUCCCGACAUGAUUUGACACUAAUGCCCUUAUGUAAUAUGACCGUUGGAGUGGAUAAGACCAGUGACUUGGCGUGGCUAUCGAAACGGUCGGAACCCUCAACUUUGAGAGUCCUCAUGUCACUCAUAUUCCUCAUUUGAGGCUUUUGGUAGGAUUAGGCUUGGGUUGAGCAUCAUGAGGAAAUUCAUUCCAUAGUGUAACUUUGACCCCCUUUAAUAGUACGGUGUUCCUAUUACUCGAAUGCGAAGAAAGUAAAACAGAAAGUGUAAAUCUUCAUGCUUCAAUUCUUCACAGUGAUUUUCUUCAGGAACCACCGGACUUCUGAAUAUCAGUAUCUUCAUGAGGAAUAUCAAUUUCAUCGCAGAUUCCUCGCGAUUCAUUUCUUCAGCUUCAGACCAAUCUCUUCAACUGAAGACAUAUAUUUUUAGGGGUCAAUAUUCUUCAAAUAUCUCAACCUCCUCAAUGACUUAUAGAUCCUGUGUACACUCACAAACACAUUAGAUACUUAACCUAUAAGUCUUCAAACCACCAAAAUCACUUAGGGGCACUAGAUGCACUUACAAUCUCCCCUUUUUGGUGGUUGAUGACAAUUAGGUUAAGUAUUCAACAGGGAUCAAAAAUAUGAAGUGUAAAUACUCAUUUGAGGAAUUUGAAAUCAAGAUUCAGAGAGACUCCCCCUGAAGAUGUGCAUAUCUUGAGGAUUUUGCUUUUUACAGCAAAUGCACAUUGAUGAUUUAUAUCAUGGAGAUCUCCUCCUGAGUCUUGUAAAUCAUGCAUACAUGUAACAUAUCAUAUGAAGAAUAUGAAGAUGCAUGAUGACAAAUGGUAUCUGACGAAUUCCAGCAUGCGUGCAUUAAAACUUGAGGAAUAAGCAUGCGUAGAAAAACGUUCAAAAGCGUCAGAGUACCAUCGGGCUUAAGUUACAAUUCAUUACAUAAAAACUUCAGAAGAGUCAAGAGUUUGUAACUUAAAUAUAGUUCAUAAGCCCCAAAAAUAUCCCGCUUGCAGACUAACUCUCAAGUUUCUCCCCCUUUGUCAUCAAGUGACAAAAAGGGACAAACUGAGGACUAACGCCCAUGAAGACUUCAGUUCUUGGCAGUUGAGGAAGAGUUGUGAUGCUUCUUGGGAGUAGUCUUCUUCCUUGGACCGGUAGUAGUGUCGAGCUAUUCUUCAUCAGUUUCAGCAGUGCGGAAUGAAGAAAAGGAGCUGUCUUCAAGGUCUGGCACUGGAAUAGGCCUUAACUUCUUCUUGGGAGGCCACGACCAUUCAAAGUCUCGCUUAAAGUCCAUUUCUUCAAGCUCAGUCUGAGUCUUCAGAUGUGCAAGUGUAGCCCAGGUGUGAUCGAAAACCUCAUGCAGAUAGUGAUGGUUGAGCUUCACAGAGUUCUGUGUUUCAGUGAGGGUUUUCACAAUGGCACCAAACUGGUGUUUGACCCAUUUGUGGUUGCGAUCCACCUUCUGGUGAAGACUGAGGAGGAGCUCUCUGGUAUUCAUCACGCGAGGAGGAAUGGGGCUUGCCGGACGAGUCUCAGUAUCAUCCCAUGAAGAAUAAGCUUCUGGCUCUCUGAACUGGCCAUCAAGGGGCCUACUGCCUUUGUCAAUCACAAAUUUUCCUUUUCCUUCAAUGGACUCGAAAGUCUUCUUGUUGACCCGAAUAGGAGGCAUAUAACCCAUAUGGUUUUGGAAAUCAGCGUGGAAGUUGAUGCAUGUCCUUGUCCUGAUGAAUCUCAUGAUCCAUGGAGCAUAUAUCUUGUGAUCAAAAGGACACAUAGCAUUAUCGGCCCAAGUCCUCAAGAAGAAAUCAUGGAUGUUGAUAGGAAUACCAUGAAUGAUGUUGAGGAGGAUAUUCUUCAUGAGGCCUACAACAUCUUCUUCAUCGUCAUGGCCUUUGAUCGGCGCGAGCACACUGCAGAGGAUUCUGUAGAUAAACCUGGGUGUGUACUUCAGCUCGUGGACGAGGAACGUUGUUCUCGGAGAUUUUCCUUCAGCCAAAGGUUUCAUGAGGACUUCCAUCAUUCCAUCUGGCAGCUCACGCUCGCCAUAAAGCUUCACAGCCUCAUCUGAGGGAAUUGGUACAGGCAGUUCUUUGAGGAGUUCAGUAGCAGGAGCCUUGUAGUGAGUGUUUUGUGACAUCCAAUCAAACACCCAAGUGUUAAUUUCUUCAGGGUUGCCAGAUAUGUGAAGAGUGGCAUAGAACUGAAGAAUUAGCUCGUUGUUCCAGUCAGAUAUGUCGAAGCACAUUGGGAGUAAACCUGCAUCAUGGAGUACACUGAGGACUGGCUCCAGGCACGGUAUUGCUUCAAGUUCAACAUGAGGAAUAUGCAUGUGCUGGAAUAUCUUGUUUCGUCCACAUAGCACAGAGCCAUAGUAAUUCAUCUGAGUCCUAGUCCAAAACUUCAGAUGCCUCAUUUGAGGCUUGUCAUAGGGGUUCUCUCCAAUGAAGUACAUGCGUUCUUCAAAGAAAUUUUCCUUUUGAAACUUUGGACGCUUGGAGAAUGGCUCACGCUGAACUGGCCGAAGAUUUUGUUGAGGAAUAGGAGGGGAGAGAACAAUGGCAGUCUCUGGGUUGAGCACGACGAAUGCAUUGUCUUGGUCAGGUGCAUUCUCCUCAGCAUUUUCCUCAGGGUGAGGAAUUUUAGCAGCUGGUACUUCAGGCUGAGGAGAUGGUGCUUGCUGGGCAUCAGGCUGAGGAGCUUGCUCUGGCUGUGCUUCAGGCUGAGGAAUUUCUUCUUCUUGCUGAGUUGGAGGAGUUGGAUCAGCCUGUUCCUCAUCUUGAGGAUUCUGCUCAGAGUGUUGAAUUUCAUCAGCUUGAGGAAUUUCAGUUUGUUCUUCCUCAGCUGGCUUUGUGGCAGAGGCAGUUUCAUCAGCUGGUGCAGCUGGUGCUUGAACAUUGUCUUUCUGAGGAAUGAAAGGCUGAGGACUGUCGUCUAUCUGAAUUUCCUCGUCAGUGAGUUCCUCAGAGGCGGAAUCUUUCAUUUCCUCGUCUGCCUUUUUCGCUGGAUCAUCAAUGAUGACCACUUCAUAGGAAGGAGUGACAUUCACGGGCACAGGGUCCAGAGGAGCAGCUUCUUCAAGUGCUUUGAGGCGCUUUGCCUCUGUUUCUUCUUGUGCUGAGGAGGCCUUUCUCUUUUUGGCUUCCUUUUCAGCAGCCCUGGUUUUCGUCACGUCUGAUGCAGACGGAGUCAUCUUCUUCACCUUUGAAGCUUUUGGUGAAGGGGUUCUCUUUACAGAUUCUUCAGCUGGUAUUGAGGAACCAGCUGGAACAGAGUCAUCUGCCUGCUUUGAUGAAGCAGCUGGUUCAGGGGUAGUCUCAUCAGCUAGAGUUUCCAUGAUGAUUUCUUCAAUAGCCGGUUCAUCAACACGGCGCUCUCGGUGUACUUCCUCAGCUUGAGGAGUUUCCUCAUCACGAGGAGAUUCAUCUGUUGGCUCCUCAAUCAAAGGCUGAGGAGUUGGUGCUGGGGGUGCGGCCUUCUUAUUGUAGUCAUCAACAACACUAGUGGCCAGCUUGAUGAAAUUGCUCUUGAGGCUUUUACGAUCUGACAGCUUGGAGUACUUGUCAGUCAAUUUCUUCAGCUCUGCCUGUGUUGACACCAGUGCAUCAGGAGUCAAUUUGAGGAGAUUCUGCUUGAGGAAUUUCUCCUUUUUAAUCUUUGCAACUUUGGCCUGCCUGGCCUGCUGUUCUUUCCACUUGGCUUCAUUGAUGAAAGUGGUCACCAUGUGGCUAAUGCCAGGCGGAAGCUUCAAAUCAUCAACUGGAGUGUUUGGGUCCUCAUACCAGAUGUUGAUGUAGUCAUGGUGGACCUUGGGGUCCAUUGCCAGAGGAAUGGCACUUCCUUAUGCUUGAGCUACUCUUUCCUGCUUCUUUCUAAUGAUGGCUUGCAGGGUUUCAUCAUCAAAUUCAUCACUUCCCUCUGAUGCAGACGGGACGGUGAUGAUUUUACUGGGGAUGGGCAGAGUUGCACGUUCAGCAGUUACCAAAGUCUUCGCAGGAGGUGCUGAAGACUUUGUCUCCGAGCUGGUUGCAGCUGGGAGUGGGGAGCUGGAGCUGGCGGUCAUAGGCUUCAUGACUUGUUUCUGUACUGGUUUCUCUUGAGGCUUUGGAGGUGGAGCUGAGGAUUUUGGAGCUGAGGAGAUUGGUACUGAGGGCUUCGGCACUGAUGGUUUUGGUGUUGAAGGUUUUGGUGCUGAAGGUUUUGGUCCUGAUGGUUUUGUGACUGAAGCCUGAGCAGACUUCUCUUGAGGCUUUGGAGCCCUUGGCUUUGAUGGCACAGACUGCAUUUGAGGAAUUUCUGAGCCAGAGGUUUCUGCGCCAGAGGAAGUAGCAGCAGCUGAGGCAGCAGCUGUGGAUUCAUUGAAUUUCCUCACUGCAGCUUCUGCCUGCUUUUUGAGCUUAGCCAGAUGCUUUUCCUUCUCAUCUGGAUAGUCAUCAAUAGUCAUGAGGCUUGAGCGAUGUGCUACUUGAUGAUCGUCAAGUGGGGCCCUUCUUCUAGGGGGCUUCAGAGCGAAUUUCUUUGCAUAUUUGGGAGUCACAAACCUGUAUUCCUUCCAUUCCUUUGCCCAUCGGCGUUCUAUCUUCUGCAGCCGUAUCUUUCUCUUGGCCAUUGUCUCAUUUUCAUCAGGCGUGCAACAGUCCAAGUAAAUAUCCUCAGGGAUAUCCACAGCUGUGGUUUGCUCAAGUUUCUUUCCUCCCUUCUGUUUUCUGUCAUCCUCCAUUUUCUUCAGUUGAGGAUUUUGCUGAUGAGAUUGAACUCUUGAGGAUUCUGAUGAGACUUGAAGAGUUUCUUCCUGAAACGCUGCAAAUGAGUUAAUGUGAUGAGAACCGAGAGACUCAUCAGCUGACAUGUGUGUACCUGUGAACAGAGUAUAGUUGCGAGGAACUUGGAGAGGUCAUAUGCGUUCUCAGAUUUGAAGAAAAUGAAAAAGUUUGACAGUUUGAGGAAUAUAACCAGUGGUUGAGGAAUUUGCCUAAGCAUACUGUUCUUGGGUUCCAGAGUUGUACAGAUCCGAAAAUUCGCACAAUUGAGGAAUCUCGUGAAAAUCUUAGAUGCUUAGCAUAGUUAAUCAAUGAUGUGGUGAUAGGAAGUGUUUGAGGAAUCAAGUGCUUAUCGUUUCUUGAGGAAAAACAGAUUUCACAUAGAAGAUGUAAAAUUUUAGAUCUAACAUGCUGUAAAAAUGGGAUUUAUUUACCCUGGAAGGUGCGCACGAAGAACACAGAAAGGUGUGUGUGGAGAAGCUCUUCGGUCGCGUGUCCAAUGCACCCUAACCCGGCGACAUAGGACGUCUACGCCAGCGGCGGACGAAGAUGGUCCGACUCCGGCGUGGUUCCGGCGACGAAGAAGUCGAGGCAGUGAAGCUCUUCCGCACCGGCGACGAGACUACCAGCGAUGGCGCUAGGGUUCGGUGGUGUAUUGUGUGGUAGGAGAGCGUUGGAGCGAAGAAGAGUAUGCCGAGGGGGAUAAGGACAUAUUUAUAGCCAAAAGUUACUAUUGGCGCAAGAAUUUCGGACCAAACAGCCCCUGCCUCUACGUCUCCGCAAGACACGUGUAGCUCCCGAACGAUGCGGUGGAGAUAGUGGAGAUCGUGGUUAUCCAAUCGUGGGAAGUGGGGUUCAGUUACUGUGUAUUAAAGAAACAAUUUUUGAAGAUUUGAGGAUUUUCAUUACAAAAUCAUCAGCUGACAAGGACGCAGUGAGAAUUUUGAACAAAGUUUCAAGUAGAACGCAUAUGAAGAAUUGAAUAGACUGGAUGAGUAUAGCAUAGAUGGAAAGUAGGGUCCGAUCACAUUCACUUAGCAGAAAUAUCAACUUGAAGAAAUUGCAAUAAGUGAAUGCUGUUGAGGACUUGAAAUCACAGUCUAUCUAGUCAAAUGAAAGUCAUCAAGUGUUUUUGAAGAUUUUGUGAUAAAUCAUCACACUGAAGAACAACUGUUUUGAAGAAAAACAUAUUUUGAGGGAAUAAAACAUUUGAAGAAAAUCAACUUGAGGAAUUUCACAUUGGGCGGUGGAGUGACCCACCAUAUAAGAAUGUUGAUUACAGACGCCGCGUACAAUUGUCGUAGGGCCCUGAGAAUCAAUUUCUUUGUUAAUUUCUUCACAUUCAGAGUGACAUUCUUCAUUAGUUGAAGAAAAUCGAUUCAUCAUGUGCUGCACAUCUAAGUCAUCAACUUUGCAUAAGUGUUAGGAUGUGUGCAUGUUUUUUUACAAAACAUUUGAAGAUUCUAAGAUAUUUAGCUCACACCGCAACUUGCAAAACCUUUUCUCAUCCAAGGGCUUAGUGAAGAUAUCUGUCAGUUGAUCAUCAGUCUUCACAUGGUCAAUGAGGAUAUUGCCCUUGAGGACAUGGUCCCGAAGAAAAUGCCGAAUCUGGAUGUGCUUGGUCUUCGAGUGCUGUACAGGGUUGUGCACAAUCUUGAUAGCACUCUCAUUGUCACAGUAGAGAGGCACAUUCUUCAUGUUGAUGCCGUAGUCCUUGAGGGUUUGCUUCAUCCAUAGCAAUUGAGCACAGGAAGAACCAGCACCAAUGUACUCAGCUUCAGCAAUGGAGAGUGAUACGUAGUUCUGCUUCUUUGAGGACCAGCAAACUAGUGAUCUUCUGAGGAAAUGGCAUGUGCCAGAAGUUGACUUGCGAUCCACACGGUCACCAGCAUAGUCAGAAUCAGAAUACCCUACCAGAUGAAGAUUGGAGCCCUUCGGAUACCAUAAUCCUAGUGUUGGUGUGUGAGCUAAGUAUCGAAGAAUAUGUUUGACAACCUUAUGGUGUGAUUCCUUCGGUUUUGCUUGAAAACAUGCACACAUGCAAACAUUAAGCAUUAUAUCUGGCCUAGAUGCACAUAGAUACAAUAAAGAGCCAAUCAUAGAACGAUAUACCUACUGAUCGAAGUCUUUACCAUUUUCAUCAGUGCCGAGGUGGCCGUUGGUAGGCAUUGGAGUCUUAGCACCUUUGCAUUCAUGCAUGUCGAAUUUCCUCAGAACAUCCUUGAGGUAUUUCUCCUGUGAUAUGAAGAUUCCAUUGCUUUGUUGACGAAUUUGAAGACCCAAGAAGAAUUUCAGCUCCCCCAUCAUGGACAUCUGAUAUUCUUCACUCAUCAUGUUGGAAAAUUCAUCACUGUAUUGUUUGUUAGUACAGCCAAAUAUGAUAUCAUCGGCAUAUAUUUGACAUACAAAUAGCUCAUUAUCAUAGGAUUUUGUGAAAAGAGUUGGAUCGAGUGAACCAGGUUUGAAGCCUUUCUUCAUGAGGAAUUCCUUCAAUGUAUCGUACCAUGCCCGAGGGGCUUGCUUGAGACCAUAAAGAGACUUUUUGAGUCUGAAGACUUUGUCUGGAUUCUUUGGAUCCUCAAAACCUGGGGGCUAAGCAACAUAUACUUCUUCCUCAAGCUUACCAUUGAGGAAUGCACUUUUCACAUCUAUUUGAUAUAAAAUGAUGUUAUGAUGAUUAUCAUAAGCAAGUAGUAUUCGAAUAGCUUCAAGUCUAGCAACAGGUGCAAAAGUUUCAUCGAAAUCUAUUCCUUCAACCUGGGUGUAGCCUUGGGCUACAAGUCGUGUCUUGUUCCUCACCACUUGACCGUCCUCAUCUUGCUUGUUUCGGAAAAUCCACUUGGUGCCGAUGAUGUUGUGGUUGCGAGGAUCUGGUCGUUUGACGAGCUCCCAUACGUCAUUCAGCUUGAAUUGAAGAAGUUCGUCUUGCAUAGCUUGGAUCCACUCCGGUUCCAGAAAAGCCUCAGCAACCUUUGAGGGUUCUGUGAUGGAUACAAAGGAAAAAGGCCCACAAAAGUUAACUAAGUGUGAAGCUUUUGAGCGAGUGAGAGGACCUGGCGCGUUGAUGUCAUUGAGGAUUUUGUCAAGUUCUACUUCGUUUGUAAUCCUUGGAUGAGCUGGUUGAGGAUUUUGUCUGGGCUGAGGAAGUGGUGCUGGUGCAAUUUCCUGAGGAGCAUCUUCUUGAUUUUUAUCAGUGAUGGGGAUCGUUUCUUCACCAAUUUCCUCAGUGGGGACAAUGUCUUCAGUAGGCUUGAGCUUUAUUGCUUCCUCACGAGACAGCUUAUCUGGAUCAGAAGGCAAUUUCUCUCUUUGUGAGCCAUUAGUUUCAUCGAACCGCACAUCUACAGUCUCAACAACUUUCUUAUGAUAGUUGUUGAAGACUCUGUAAGUGUGCGAGUCCUUUCCUUAACCGAGCAUAAAACCUUCAUGUGCCUUAGGUGCAAAUUUUGAGCUAUGGUGAGGAUCUCUAAUCCAGCAUUUUGCACUGAAGACUUUGAAAUAACUUACAUUGGGUUUCUUGUCAGUGAGGAGUUCAUAUGAGGUUUUCUUGAGGAAUUUGUGAAGAUAUACCCUGUUGAUGAUAUGGCACGCAGUGUUGAUUGCUUCAGGCCAAAAGCGACGAGGAGUCUGAUAUUCUUCAAGCAUAGUUCUUGCCAUUUCAACCUGAGUCCUGUUCUUCCUUUCGACGACACCAUUCUGCUGAGGAGUAUAAGGAGCAGAUAAUUCAUGAGUAAUACCAAGUUCAUCAAGAUAAUCAUCAAGACCAGUGUUUUUGAACUUAGUACCAUUAUCACUCCUGAUAUGUUUGAUCUUGAUGCCAAAGUUCGUCGAGGCCCUUGAAGAAAAUCGUUUGAAGAUUUCCUGCACUUCAGUUUUAUACACUAUGAUAUGCACCCAAGUAUAUCUCGAAUAAUCAUCAACUAUGACGAAGCCAUAUAAUGAUGUUGCAUUGGUUAGUGUGGCAUAGUGAGUAGGUCCAAAUAAAUCCAUAUGAAGCAGUUCGAAUGGACGUGUAAUGGUCAUGAUAGUUUUAGAGGGAUGCUUGGAUCUGGUCAUUUUCCCAGAUUCACAAGCACCGCAGAGAUGAUCCUUGAGGAAUUUGACCGAUUCGAUGCCGAUAACAUGCUUCUUCUUCGCAAGCGUGUGCAAAUUCCUCAUGCCUGCAUGACCUAGUCUUCGGUGCCACAACCAUCCUUCUGAGGUUUUUGCUAGUAAGCAAGUGGCUGGUUGAGGACCUGUAGAGAAAUCAACAAUGUACAAAUCCCCUCUUCUUACACCUUCGAAGACUAUGGAUCUGUCAGAUUCCAUGACGACUACACAUCUAUAUCUACCAAAGAUAACAAUCAUAUCAAGAUCACAAAGCAUCAAGACUGACAUAAGGUUAAAACCAAGGGAUUCAACAAGCAUCACUUUGUCCAUAUGCCUAUCCUUGGAAAUAGCCACUUUGCCAAGUCCCAAUACCUUGCUUUUACCUUCGUCAGCAUAUGUGAUUUGCUUCAGAGGUGAUGGAGUUAGUGGCAUAUUCAUCAGUAAGCUUUUAUCACCAGUCAUGUGAUGUGUGCAGCCACUAUCAAGAACCCACUCAGUAUUCUUGGGCUUGUCAUCCUGCAGAUGAAUUAGUACAGCUUACCAUCUCAUAUGCUUCAGAUGUGAAGAAUAUGAUGCUAAUUUCAUCAGAUUAGUAAUUUCAUCAUAACAAAAAUGUAAGGACGUGUGAAAUAUUUCUAUUUCAUCCAUCAUUAGCUUGCGUCCUAUCAAGCAUUUCCUCAGGUCUCCAGCAAAUUCUUCAUAUGAUGAUUUUCAUCUGGAGACCUGACCUGCAGAAAUGAUUAGUUCGAUUUCUUCACCACCCACAUCUGAAGGGGUGGCAAAGCAUUCAUCAUCCUGUGAGCACCAUAUGAGAAAGGUGGCAUUGAAUCCAAUGCACUUCUCUUACCAGUAGGGGGGUUAAAGUACUCAUAUGAAUAUGCAGAGAACUGGUUAGAGGAUUUAUGAACAUAAUGAUUUGAGGAGUAACGAUCAUAUUCAUAUUCCUUGUACUUUCCCUGCACAUUAGACGUAUUAGCACGGGUACGAGCAUAGAUUUGACCAGUUGAGGAUUUUGAUCCUCUUGAAGACUUUGGUCCUCCUGAGGAAUUUGAUCUGGGGUUCAGAUUCUUCAGUGGUGGUGUCAUGAGGACAUUCACCUGAAGAUUUUCAAGACAGCUUUUGGGAACCCAGAUUUUCCUCAAGGGAGGGCCAUUCCUGUAGUUAGUUCCAACAUAUCGAGCAAAUACUUCACCAGAUUGAUUUUUGAACAGUUUAUAGUUGGAGUCAAAUGACUCAUCUGAGGAAUAGGAUAAUUCACAUGAAAAACCAGUUAGAUUAGAUGGAUCAAAAGGAGGCCCAGUAGCAGCAACCCAUGAGGUUUUGGGAUACUGCUCAGGUUUCCAAUAGGAUCCAUCAACAUUUAAUUUCCUCUCAAAGGCAAUUCCUUCUUUCCAUGGGUUCCUGUUCAAGAUCUGCUUUUUGAGCACAUCACAAAGGGUUUGAUGUCCUUUGAGACUUUUGUAUAUGCCUGUCACGUACAAUUCCUUCAACCCUGCAUUUUCAUCAGUAACAUUCGUGUUUUCCUCAAGUGAGGAAAUAGACACAACAGGUGCAGUUGAAGAAUUUGUAGCAAUGGUAGCAUUUGAUGAUUCUGGUGAGGAAUUAGCAGUUUCGCGUUCAGUGCAUUUAAGACAUGGAGGAAUAAAUUCAACUUGACCAGCGUUGAUUUGUUGAGCUAGUAAUGAAUCAUUUUCCAUACAAAGAUCAUCAUGAGACAUCCUCAGCUUCUCAAGAUCAAGCUUCCUUUGAAGAAAUUCAUAGGAAAGCUUCUCAUGAUCAGUGAGGAGUGUAUCAUAACGAUCCUGAAGAUUAUCAAAUCUAGACUGAAGACUUUUCACAUCAUCAGUGAGGAUUUGGGUAAGGUUCAUUUCAUCAUUCAACAGAUCAUCACUUUUAUCUAGCAGUUUCUGAAGCUUUUCUAGAGCAGUUUGUUGUUUAGUGGCAAUGAUAGCAAGUUUACUGUAACUGGGUUUCUUAUAAUCAUUAGGUUCUAGUCACUUGAAUCAGAGGAGGAGGCAUUAUUUGGUACCUUCGAACCUUUUGCCAUGAAGCAAUAGGUUGGAGCGAAGUCAUCAGCAUAGUUAUCAGUAUGGAUGGUGCAAUCAUUUUCUUCAAGAUUGAAGACUGACUUGAUGACGAAAGUGGUUGCCAGUGCAAGACUAGCCUGUCCGGAUUCUGAGUCUUCAUCGGAACCCUCUUCUUCAUCACAUUCCUUUGAUUCUGCCUCGGAGUCCAUUUCCUUGCCAAUAAGUGCGCGAGCCUUUCUGAAACUACUCUUCUUGUGUGAUGAGGGCUUUGAAGAUGAGGAUUUUGAAGAUUUCUUCUUCUGCUUCGAGUCAUCAGAACUGUCAUCCUUGUAUUUCUUCUUCUUUGAUUCCUUUCCCCAACGGGGACAAUCAGCAAUGUAAUGACCUGAUUUCUUGCACUUGUGACAGAUUCUUCUCUUGUAGUCCUCAGAUGAAGAUUCUGAUUUCCUCAUGUCUCUUCUUGAAGAUUUACAAAAAUGGCCACGUCGUGUAAAUCUCUGGAAUUUCCUCACGAGCAUUGCAAGCUCCUGUCCAAAUUCAUCAGGGUCACAAAUGCUGUCAUCUGUGUCUUCUUCUUCAGAUGAGGAAAUUGCUCUAGCCUUCACUGCACGUGGUCUGGAAUAGCUUGGUACAUAUAGAUCUCUCUUUUCUUCUAGCUGGAAUUCAUGAGUAUUUAGCCUUUCAAGUAUAUCAGCUGGAUCAAGCAUCUUGUAGUCUGGUCUUUCUUGAAUCAUCAGAACUAAACUAUCAAAUGAAGAAUCCAAAGAUCUCAGCAGUUUCUUCACAACUUCGUGAUCGGUGAUGUCUCGAGCUCCCAGUGCUUGAAGUUCAUUUGAUAUGUCAGUGAGGCGAUCAAAGGUGUCUUGGCAACUUCCAUUGUCAUGUCUCUUGAAGCGAUUGAAGAGAUUGCGAAGAAUAUCAACACGAGAGUCACGCUGGGUUGAUAUUCCUUCAUUUACCUUGCACAGUCUCUCCUAGAUCAGUGUUGCAGAGCCCAAAGCACUUACUCUUCCAAACUGGCCUGGGCUCAGAUGGCCACAGAUGAUGUUCUUCGCUUGAGAAUCGAGUUGCUUGAAUUUCUUCACAUCAGCCACAGUGACACUAGCAGAGAUGAUGGGGACGCCAUGUUCCACAAUAUACCAGAGAUCAUUAUCAAUAGCUUGUAGAUGCAUUUGCAUUUCGUUCUUCGAGAAGGGAAAGUUCUUUCCUUCGUAGGUAGGACAUGCUGCAGUCACCUUAAACAUGCCUGCAGUCGACAUAACUAAAACUCCAGGUGGUUAAACUAAAAUCACACAGAACAAGGGAGUGCCUUGCUCUUAUACCAAUUGAAAGUGCGUUAUAUCGACUAGAGGGGGGGUGAAUAGGAGAUUUUUAGAAUUUCAUCACUGAGGAAAUUCCUCACUUAUGACUAACUUACACCGGAAAUAGUAAAGGAUCAGAUGUGCAAAGUUUCACAACAACAGUUUUUCAGAGUGAAGAAUGUGAAAACAGAUUGCACUGUGAGCAGGCACACAGAAUACAGAUGAGGAUUAACUAACGUGAGGAAUUUGGGGUUGAGGAAAUUCAGAGAAAGUCUUCAACAAAUUCUUCAAACAGUCGCAGUGAAAGUCAUCAACACAUAAUACGAUGAAAGUAAGGAGUUGAGGAAUUAGAACCCGUUUCUCAGUGAAGACAGUCGUUGAUGACCCAGUUCCAACUGCUGUGACAGUCGUACACAGUCCCUACCGUAUUCUCCUUGAGCUAAGGACACACAGUCCUUGCCCAACACUCGUGGUAAGUCUUCAGGGCAGACUUCCAAACCCUCACAAACUUGGUCCCCCGGCGAUCCACAAUUGACUGCUGGAAAGCUGUAGACCAUGACGCCUAACCGUCUCCAGGAUGCACAGUCCUCAAAGGUAAAAGGCUUCAGUCCCACACAGGAACAACUUCUUCAGUGAUGCUCAAUCACUAGGUUUGGUUUGUGGUUUCGGUGUAUGGUGUAUUUCCUCACUGAUGAAUUACUCUCGAAGGCUCUGGGGAAUUGGGUUGCUCUUAUGACAAGUGUCAGUUUCUAACGGAGCAGCCAACCAGCUAGUGGUUGUGGGGGUGGCUAUUUAUAGCCCGAGAGCAUCCCGACAUGAUUUGACACUAAUGCCCUUAAGUAAUAUGACUGUUGGAGUGGAUAAGACCAGUGACUUGGCGUGGCUAUCAAAAUGGUCGGAACCCUCAACUGUGGGAGUCCUCAUGUCACUCAUAUUCCUCAUUUCAGGCUUUUGGUAGGAUUAGGCUUGGGUUGAGCAUCAUGAGGAAAUUCAUUCCAUAGUGUAACUUCGAUCCCCUUUAACAGUACGGUGUUCCUAUUACUCGAAUGUGAAUAAAGUAAAAUAGAAAGUGUCAAUCUUCAUGCUUCAAUUCUUCAGAGUGAUUUUCUUCAGGAACCACCGGACUUCUCAAUAUGAGUAUCUUCAUGAGGAAUAUCAAUUUCAUCGCAGAUUCCUCGCGAUUCAUUUCUUUAGUUCAGACCAAUCUCUUCAACUGAAGACAUAUAUUUUUAGGGGUCUAUAUUCUUCAAAUAUCUCAAACUCCUCAAUGACUUAUAGAUCCUGUGUACACUCACAAACACAUUAGAUACUUAACCUAUAAGUCUUCAAACCACCAAAAUCACUAAGGGGCACUAGAUGCACUUACACACGCAGGACCAGCAGCUGGGCUGUCCCAACUGGCCAACCGGGCAACCAGCGAGUCAGCCAACCCAGGCGCGUGCGCCGUCACGUUUAAACCUAAUGCAUGGGGCCCUAUGGCCAGCGAUUGAGAGGAGAGGGGAGAGAGAGACGGCCGCCGACAGGUGGGGCCCUCCUGUCGGGGUUGUAUCCUACCUCAGGACAGAGGGGAGGGGGAGCCUACCGGCGGCAGUUCCGACGAUGUCGAGGACAGGCGAGUGCAAGAAUGGACUCCUCGCACUCCGGCCUCUCGGAUGAGGGUCGAAUGAAAGUCGGUGGUGGCCUGCAUCGCCGGUGGUGAAGAAGUCACAGCGAAGAAUUUCAGGAAGGUCAGUGUGUCCCAAGAUCGUCGAAGCCCCGAUGCGGCGGCGCCUCGGUUGAUCUCGAGCACCGUUGCUCGUUUAGUUCAAGGGGGCACUGGUGGUGGUCAGUUGGAAGCUAGAGAGACGUGCUUGAGGUACGGGGGAGAUCUAGGUGCCUUUAUAUGGGCGGGUGAUGAUACAUCAGAGCAUGGUGCACCGACGAUGCUGCAGCAGCGGCUAGAGUAGAAGAUUGGAGUCAGGAGUGAGCCCGUGGUAUUUAGGACCGAGGGGCAUCUUCAAGAGGUGUGGGGGCAGGCUCUUGGGGCGCCGCGGUGGCGGGGUUCUAUUGGACGGUUCGGGCGCGCGCGGGCACUUGUCGCCAGGGGCAAAGGAGAGGGGGAAGAGAGUGGCCUGACACAGCUGUGGCCUAGGCCGACGAUGCAAUCAAAGAGUGGCAACAGGAGUGGCAAGAUCUGGUUGUGGCUUACCUCACUGGGCUCGGGUGCGCCCUGUAACGCAUGCAGAGCUUAGCGUUGGCAUGCCACGACAUGCUCGCGCGCUCUGGCACAUCUGGGCCAUGUCUGCGGGAGUCUCGGGGUGUGGUAAAUGCCAUUGGGAUGCUUUGGGCCGAGGGGAAUCAAGCUGGUCAAAAGGACGGGUGUUAAACACAUGUUGUCAGCAUUGAUUUAGGUGGUUAACUGAGGAUUUUGGCUCCCUCUCAUUGAACUGGUGCUGGAGCUCUCGGCUGCAGCUAUAGGAACACAAAGGUAACGUGUGACACAAUUUUGGAGUGAGGCAGUAAGUGUUGGGGGUGCUAGUUGCUGGUUUUCUAAACUGGCAAAAGGUGUUUGAUGUUGGUUUGGGGAAGUUAAAGUCCUCCAAUAGCCUUGAUAGUUAACAGGAUUGGAUGGAGGACAUAGUUAGGAGGCUUUACCAAUAAUGGGCUCAACGUAAACUUGAAAAUACCCACAAAUGGGGAGAUCUGGAAUCCUGUGAGAAAAUGUGGUCAAAUCAAUUCCCACAAAUCCAAUUCUUGGCAUGUCCUCCUUAUUUGGGGUAUUGAACACUCCUGCAAAGUUUCAGAUCAAGUGGACAAACUUGGCAAUGUAAAGUUGUUCCAAUUUCAUUCUGGACAGAAAGGUUUUCUGGAUUAUUUGGUGAACCAAACCACCUUGGAUGGAGGUGAACUUGGUAUGAUCCUCAAAUAUAGCAUGUGGGUCAUGCUAGAGUUUCCUUGGAAUUUAUUGAGAGUAUUUCCUUUGGAAAUACUUCAUAAGGUCAAAAUAGACAAAAAUGGUCUCUAGUCCAAUAUUUUGAAGAUGACAAGGGGUUGAAACUCUUAUGUAUGUAAAAUAUAUGUCCUCGGAGUCUUCCUCAAUUUUAUCAGAUUUUUCUAAGGUAGAAAGAUAUUUUUUCACCAAGAAAUACCAUUUCUGGCCUUAGAAAAGGAUUUAUAAGUAAAAUCGAGAAACGACUUUAAAAAUAAUUAUUUGACGCUUUUGAAGAGUUAUUUUAAUAUUAGAAUCAAAAUGCAAUCUUUGGGUAAAAGCACUUCCCUCAAAUCAGGGAGUUGUAGUGCAAAUCCCAAAGGAGGGGUUUGAAGCUAAAAACUAAUAAAAAGGGUUUUGUAGAAAUAAUAUUUUACAAAAACUAUUUCUGGUGAUCGACUCACAAGCACACAUACAAGCAAUUACAAUCAAGAAACUCAUGGCACUUUCAUAAAAGUUUGAAUUUAUUGCAAGUUUUGGAAAGAAAAUAAUAGUGGAAAGGUGGUUCAAAAACAAGGUGUGAGAGUGACACGAAAAAGGGGUGAGGGACCGACAUGAGGCUGGGUUCGGCAGUGUCGAGCAGCCUGGUAAAGACCACCUACCCCUUCUUCCUCCAUCGAAUCUAUGCUGGGCUGGUCCUGCCGUUCUCUGAUUUCUUCUACGCCAUCCUUUCACAUUAUCAAAUCCAUGCCCUGCACCUUUAGCCUAACUCUGUCCUCCUCCUGAUUAUCUUCGCAUUUUACUACGAGGCUUUCAUGGGCGUGAGGCCCUUAGUGGCGCUCUUCCCUCGUUUCUUCAACUUUCGGUUUACCGCCCCGGGCCAACGAUCUACAUGUGUUCCCUUUGUUAAUGUCGCGGGCGCGGGCACUCACCUGAAGGCCAAGAAGAAGUGGAAGGCUGGAGGCACCAUUGGGCCUAUAUGGAAGCACGCCUAGAGAGUCCACUCUUGGCGACCCCCACGGGUCCGCCCGAGAAAAUCUCUGGGUUGAGCCACAAGAAACUCAGCGACCCGAGGGCGGGGCCUGUCUUGGAGUGAACCAUCACUUUCGCUAAGGCCUGCUUAAUUUGGGCAAUGAUCAUCAAGGAGUUCUUGGGGCAUCAUAUCGUGUCGAUUCAGGCGCAAACACCCUUUGAGGAUUUCAUCGGCGGGAGGGCCUUACGCACGCCGAGCUAGAUGGAGCCUUUGGGGAUCUUCUUGGUUCUGAUCCCGAGGACCUUUCACGCCACCGAUGUAUGCCUGCAAUGACAUGAAGGAACUGGUCGCGGAGAUGCCCAACUUUGAUGAGUGGGGGCUCAUCGGGUCGCACAAGGGUUCCUCUAUCACGGUGUCGUCCUUGGACAAGGACAACGGUGAUCAGGACUCGCGGGCGACGAAAGGGGAGGCGAUCACCCCUUCUCCAUCCGUCCUUGCGCAGCCUCGGGGACAAUGUUGUCAUGGAUAAGCGGCAGGAGGCGAUCCCCCUGGGCCAGUGGCCUCGGGAGAAGUAGCGGGUUCAUGCCCCAUGGAAGCCGUUGUGCUGGUGGCGGGAUCCCCUCGCGAUGGUGCGGUGCCUGCCCUAGCUACAGAUGUACCUCUUCGGGGGACACCUGGGGCCCCUAGAGAGGAUAUAGUAGGGGCAAACUCGUUGGGGACCACAUCGAGCACCCCUCUAGUGGUGGCGGGGCAAUGCGUGAUGGAACCGAGGGCGCGCCACCUGCCACCGAGAAGAAGAGGAAGUGGGACAUCGGGGACGAGUAGGUACCUUAGUCCAUCCUCAUGUUGUUCACCCCUGGUUGGUAUAGUCAAGCCAACCUUCUUCAGCGCACGCGCCCUGGUAGCGGCCGGGAGAAGAAGAAGAGGGCCACCAUUGGUGCGAAGGUGAGACCUGUAUCGAGCGUGCCAUCAUCCCUUGGGCGUAGCCUUGGCAGGCGCAGGGGUGUCUUACAGAGCCCCGAUGCCGUACUUGGGCAUAUGAGCACCACUGCAGCUCGAAGUGUCUCAUCUUUGCAGCGAGGGAGCCCUAGCACCCAGGACGGUACAGCCGACCCCCCGGCACCCCCAGCCAAGGCCACGGCGGUCCUGCCCCGGCAACAUCUGUCGAGGCUGCGGCGGCCCAGCUCACGCGGGAGGAAGGAAUGUCUCAUCCUCUGUGAGCCAUCCAAACCCCGCAGCGAGCCCCAAUGCAGGAUGCAACACCGGCCUUCCUCAGGCCGCGGUCACCCUCGAGACCCGAGAGGUUCGUGCGAUAGCCUUUGAAAGUGUACCGCAUAUGCCAAAUGUGGGGGAGAACCCAAAGCCCCCUGUGCCUCGGUAGGAGGGCAUCGGAGCUGCUUUGGUUACGCCUGCAGGCACCUCUGGGAUGGCGGCCCCUCGGGAGGCCCUUGCUUUGGUGGGCUAGGACGCGUUGCUCAGGCGUGGGGCCCUGAGCGACGCCUGGGAUGCGCUCACCCAACUUAGGCAAGCUUUUGGUAUGCGCUCGACCUCCUUGAGUUGGAUUUCUAGGACGCUGAGGCGUGUUUGGUCAUGGAACGCACGAGGUUAGCCGCGGGGUGACGCCAACUUGACGCCUCUGCCAAGGAGGCCCAAGGCAAGGCUGAGGCCGUUCAUGCGGAGGGACAGAGGGAGGCCGCCGAGGCAAAGGCCGCUCGUGCAAGUGCUCCUACCAAGAAAGAGGCGCUCGCCAAGCGCUGUGAAGAGACGGAGGCCAGCUUGAAGGUGCUUCACGAGUGGAUUGUUGAAACACAGCAGGUCCAGCCAUGGGAGGAGGACGUCAGGCAGCGAGGCGAAGCUUGUGGACCGGAACUCCGAAUAGGCUACGGAGUGCGGGCGCCUGGAGGUGCUCCAACGCGAGGUGGCCGAGGCCUAGGACGCCUACGCCAAGCGCUCGAAGGCCAACGCCAAGCGCUCGAAGGCCAACGCCAAGCUGGUCACGCGGGAAGAGGAGAUUCGGGCUUCUACCGAUGUAAAGGUAGUAGUGGACCACGCCGUUCACUCCUGUGUGAAACUCAGGGCCCGCCAGGCCCUGAGCCUUAUGUGUAGGGUGGAGCUCGAGUCUCCCCUCAUCCCUUAGGGCACCAGCUAUGCCAAGCUUUCCUUCGAGCUUGUGAAGGAGCUUGAGGGCGUGGCUAAGAAGGUGGACGACAUCCUCGAGNNNNNNNNNNNNNNNNNNNNNNNNNNNNNNNNNNNNNNNNNNNAAUGCCGUGACAUCUUCUUCGUGAUGGUGACCCGCGUCUUCAGCCAUCUCCUCCUUCGUGAUCCCCGCUUCAAGUUCGACGAGGUGACGUGCCCCGUGCCUGAGGGAUCCCACGAUGACUAGGCGGCAGCCAUGGAGGGCCACGUGAACACGCUGCUGGGAAUGGUUUUCUCCGGCGAUGGCAAGGAGCCCAGAGAGGAUUGAUCUGUUAUCAACCAGAAAUAGAUUUCCCUUGGCUCGAGGAGGCGUUAGAUGAUAAUUUGAUCAUAUGGAACAAUCUUAAAUUUGUAAUGAUCGUUUAUGAUUCGUAAUUUUCGUUCCCACACUCGGUUUCUAUCUUGCUUGCCUUUGUGCUCUGCGUCGGCAGGGCCCAGCUCUACGGAUACCUCAGCCGUCGCUAGAACGCCAGGUCAUGAUGCCUGAGCAGAACCAGGAGGUGAGGGCCACAUGACUAGUGAAGGUUCCUAAGGCACGAUGCUCAAGAGCCCCCUUUGAUGCGCAAGCGGCUUGCUUGAGGGCCCAUGCAUUCACCAUUGGGAACCUUUGCGCUCUGUGUCGGUAGGGCCCAUCGCUGCGUGUACCUUAACGGCCACUAGAAUGCGAGGGGGUGAGGGACUACAGGACUAGUGAAGGUUCUUGAGACGCGAUGCUAAAAAAACCGUCCACCUUCACGCACAAGCAGCUCGCUAGAGGGCCCUCGCAUUCAACGUUGACCGCCUUUGUACUCUGCGUCGGCAGGGGCAGCCCUGUGCGUACCUCAGCUGACACUGGAACGCUGGGGGUGAGGCGCUACAGGACUAGUGAAGAUUCCUGAGAUGUGAUGAUCAAGAACUCCCCCCUUGAUGCGCAAUCCUCUCUCACAGGGACGAUUUGGUUGGAGCACCAUGCGCAUGCCUGCUUACACUUGGGUGUUGCAUGAGUAGACUAGACACUAAGGACCCAGGAGGUGACGUGCACGGGGGUAAACUUGUGAGACAGACUUGGAUUGCUUGGAAUUUUGAGCGUUGCAGGGACUAACCCGAGCACAUGCACCGUGUCCAGCCCUCGCUCGCGCGAGGUACAAGGGGAAGUUGGCAAGCACGGAGCUCUCAUGAUACUCCCCAGCACGAUGCAUGGGGUUUCCACUUGGGCAUGGUCAUAGUCGCGGUUCGACAGUAAUUCUGCCAGCGUGGAGCAUGGGGACUUCCACUUGGGCAUAGGCGGGAGCCCCCUUCCAAGGCCACGACGCGGCUCGUUGUGGGCUUCCACUUAUUAUUACGUGAGAGUCUCAGGGGCGGCGAUUAUAAAGUUGUCGGACACCCUGGGCACUAGGCUCAGGAGCUCCUAGUCUCAGUCUUCACGCGGGGUGCGCCUUAUUCUUUGCACAUCAGCGCACUUACGGGCCCUGUGACAUGGGGGCGACAUGUGUCGAGUGAUUGACGCGAGGCCACUGCACGAAGGGGUUGAGCACCGAGGACCCCAGGAGGUGACGUGUACGGGGGUAAGCCCUUUAGACAGAGCUCAAUCACUCAGGUUUAGUGAUGUUGCAGGGACGAACCCGAGCACAUACGUCGUGCCAAAUCACACAAGGAUGGCGCCCGAGGCGACGAAGCACCAAACCGACACUGAUGCAUAUUAAACCGACCCCCAUUAGCCCGUUCGCGGUAACCCCGUGAGGGGCGAGACACCAAGUACCUUGGGAGGUUACGUGCACAGUAACAAGCCCAUGAGACACAACUCGGUCACUUGGAUUUGUCAACGCUGCAGGGAUGAACCCAAGGAUAGAUACCGUGUAUAGCACCUACAAGGGAUAUCCGAGAGGCAGGUUGAAAUAGUGCGGUCACUCCGAAUGAUGGUGAGUCACCAAACGUAGGGUUUAAGUGAACGACAUAAGCUUUGAAGGGAAUAACAGUGUUUACUACACAAUCAAAAAGCAAUAAUUCAUGAUUGCGGUCCCUCGUGCCUGAGGAUAACGCAUCCUGAAGGGUGCCCUCGAUCUCAAAUACAACAACAAAUCACCUGGCGAUUGUGCUGUCGCACGAGCUCCGGGUUACUUGAUGAAGUGCGUCAUGAAGCCCCCCCCCCCCCAGCUCUAGGGGCUCGCGAGGUCCAGGAGGCACACGAGGUGCCAUUGUGAGCCAUGCCAAGCUUGGGAAGGUAGCACCUGUGUUUUCCAGGCUGAAGGGCAUGCGAACAUAGCCGACGGCGGUGCCUAGGCCUAGGACCACGUGCGAAGGCCAGAAGGAGGUUCACGAGCCGACCCCAUUGAGUCCUGCAACAUCGACGCACACACGCAUCCCACCGGUCCUCUUGGGAGUGACGAUCCUCUUGUUGCAAAUAUGCCCUAGAUUCAAUAAUAAAUUGAUAUUAUUAUAUUUCCUUGUUCAUGAUAAUUGUUUAUUAUCCAUGCUAGAAUUGUAUUGAUUGGAAACUCAAAUACAUGUGUGGAUACAUAGACAACACACAGUCCCUAGUGAGUCUCUAGUUGACUAGCUCGUUGAUCAAUGAUUGUCAAGGUUUCCUGCCAUAGACAAGUGUUGUCACUUGAUAACGUGAUCACAUCAUUAGGAGAAUGAUGUGAUGGACAAGACCCAAACUAUGAACAUAGCAUAUGAUCGUGUCAGUUUAUUGCUACUGUUUUCUGCAUUCAAUGUAUCCGUUCCUAUGACCAUGAGAUCAUGCAACUCCCGGACACGGAGGAAUACCUUGUGUGUAUCAAACGUCAAAACGUAACUCGGUGACUAUAAACGUUCUCCACAGGUAUCUCCGAAGGUGUAUAUUGGGUUGGCCUGGAUCAAGACUGGGAUCUGUCACUCUGUGUGAUGGAGAGGUAUCUCGGGGCCCACUCAGUAAUACAACAACACAAUAAGCCUUGCAAGCAAUGUGACUAUGGAGUUAGAGUCCCGGAUGAGAUCCCAGACGUCACGAGGAGUUCUGGAAUGGUCCGGAGGUAAAUAUUUAUAUAUGGGAACUCCUAUUUUGGCUAUGAGAAAAGUUUCGGGUAUUAUCGAUAUUGUACCGGGAAGCUUCUGGAAGGUUCCAAAGGGUUCCCAAUGAGUCCGGAAGGGUCCCUCUAGCCCCUAGGACGGGCAUGGGCUGUAAGGGGGCGUACAAGCCUUGUUGGGCCAGCCCCCAAGGGCCCUUGUGCUUGGGAGGGAAGAGUCCCUAAAGAGGGAGGAAACCUCCCUAGGCCCACGCCCCUACUUGGAGGAGGGGCUAGGGCUGCGACCCAGCCCUCCUCCUAGCCUCCUAUAUAUAGUGGGGGAGAGGGAGGGGCUGAACACAUCAAUUCCCAUGCCCCGGUGGCAGCUCUACCUCUCCCAUAACUCUGUUCUCUCCUCAGAUCGGUUCCGACAACGCUUGGCGAAGCCCUGCUCGCACUGCUCCACCAUCAUCUCCACCAUGCCAUCGUGCUGGUUCGGAUCCCAUCUACUUCUCCUUCCUCUGUUGCUGGAUCAAGAAGGAGGAGACAUCAUCGAGCUAUACGUGUGCUGAACACGGAGGUGCCAUCCGUUCGGCGCUAGAUCGGGACAGAUCUUGAUGAGAUUGCGGGACGGGCUACGAUUUCGAUCGCGAAGAUGUUCCACUAUAUCAACCGCAUUAUAUACGCUUAUGCUUAGCGAUCUACAAGGGUAUGUAGAUUCACUCUCCCCUCUCAUAGAUGAUCAUCACCAUGGAUAGACCUUGUGUGCACGUAGGAAAUUUUUGUUCCCCAUGCGAUGUUCCCCAACACCUCUCGACAAGGCACUCCAGGUGACGUGCGCCACGCAUGCCGCGUGCAUCCCGCAACUUGUUGAUUUUCUGGGUGAUGAACUCCUGUGCCCCCGGAGUUCGGUGUCAUACCCUUUCCUCAAGAGGGUGCGCGUUGAGGCACGCCUCUAGGUGGUGCCCAAGUACCUCUCUCUAUGUACCAGCCAGGUCAGAUGCUUUCUAGGUGGAAGCCCCCGAGCCCGACCCGAGGGAGGCGCCGGGUGCGCCUUCCAAUGCCGGAAGCGGGCAAGCACUGACAACAUUCACGGGGCUCGCGGCCCUGGCGUCAGUCUCCGGACCCUUCACCUUGGCAGUGCCAGAGGCCGGCAGGGAGUGCUUCUUCCUCGGGGGUGUGACCUCGCGAGGCACAUCGUCCCCGGCACCAUCGGAGAACUCCCACGCGGCGACCUUGUAGGCACGAUCAAUGUAGCAGACGAUGUCCUUUUCGUCGCAGGUGACGGUGAUGAUGCCGCUGCAACCCGGCAUCUUGAGGACGUUGUAGUCGUGGUGAUUCUCCACCAUGAACUUGGCCAGCGCUGGGUAGCCCAAGAUGGCAUUGUAUGGGAGGCCAAUGUACGCCACGUCAAAGUCAACGAGCUCGGUAUGAUAGUUGUCGUGUGUGUCGAAGGUGACCAGAAGGCGGAUCUGACCUAGCAGAGUGGUGGAGCCGUUGGUCGCCCCAGAGUACAGCUGGGUCAGCAUCAUCUGGUUGUAAGGCACUUGGACUGUGUCAAAGGUUUCGAUGGAAAGCAUGUUGAGGCCCCCGCCUCCGUCAAUCAGAGUCUUGGUGACCACAAUAUUGCUGAUGGUGGGAGUACACAUCAUGAGGAACAUGCCUCCGGCGGCCGUGGACUUGAGGUUGUCCAUGGUAUCAAAGGUGUCGGCGUACUGGGACCACUUGAGGGGCUUCGUGGCCCCCAGCCAUGGGAGGGCGGCAUUCACCACCCGAGAGAGUUGUUUGAACAGACGGUUUUACAAGGGGGCAUGAGCUCUGAUAAGAAUGCAAGCCACAACGCUAGGCUCUAGAUAGGCUCCGGCCUCCUCAUCAUGUUGGCUUUCAUCGUUCCUCCUCAGCGGCGGCGGCAGCAAAGGGAGCGCCACAUUGUCUCGAGGGCGUGCACCAAGAGGCUGACUAUGCCAGCCGUUCUCGCGAUGCCGCUCGUACCAGCCCCAGCGAGGAAUGCCAUUGCAACUGUCCCACUUGCCGUCGUUGCGGGUGCCGUCGCAACCAGCAUUACGGUUAGUGUGUUCCGGACGUCGGCAGCACGCUCAUAUUGGAGGACCUUGAGUUCUUGGCAGUCUUCGGUGUUGUGGGUGUAUACGUCAUGGUAGAUGCAUAACGGACGGCAAUCCUUUUCGGGCACGCCUCGUUCGCGGCCAUGCUUCUUCUUGGGCUCAGCACCAAGCACAUCGGGUCCUUUGUGCUUGACCGCCUUGGCCUGGCCCUUGGCGUCGUCGGGCAAUUUUUCAGGGUUGUCCUGGGCGAACACGUGACCGUCCUCCGCCUUGGCGCAUUUGUCGGCGAGGUUGAAUAAAUCCAUGGCCAUGCUCAGGUUGUCGUUGCUGGAGAGCUUCUAGCACAUCUUGAGAUCCUUGACGCUGUUGGUGAAUGCCAUGAUGACAUCCUCCUUACGCACAUGCGUGAACCGCUGGAUCUUGUUAGGCACAUGCCUGAANNNNNNNNNNNNNNNNNNNNNNNNNNNNNNNNNNNNNNACCGCUGGAUCUACUUGCGGAGAGUCUCCCCAGGGCGUUGUUUCACGCGGCUCAACUCAUUGACGGAGAGGGGACGGUCGUGCGUGUCCUUGAAGUUGGCAAAGAACAGCUGACAGAGGUCACUCCAUCAAGAUACCGACUUCUCGGACAGGUUUAGGAGAUAGGACCACAUGUCAUCCUUGAGGACCAUCAGAAGCUAGUUCAACAUGAUCCGGGGUAGAGUUGGAGGAGCUCGCGGGGUCGAGGGAUUUAUCAUAGCACGGGGGCAGCUCUGACUUGAACUUGGCCGGUAAAACCACCUUGCGCAACUCGCGAUUGAAGGCCUGGCAACCCACGGUGCUUUAGGGGCCACCACGCGCGAGGAUGGCUCUGUUCCGGCGCUCGGCUGCCGCGACAUCCUAGACGACUUGGUCCUAGUGCUGACGCUGAUGCUCGAGGACCGCACGCGCAUCGGACGGAGCCUCAUGGCGGAUGAUCUCGCAUCUACAUUCUUCUUCUUGGACAUGUGGGGUGGUUCGUGAGGUGGGUUGCUCGAGCGCGCGUCGUGUCGGGGCUCAGCCUGGUCGCCGUGCACAGGAGAAGGCGGCAGUCCUCCCUGAGCCACCUCAGGGAUGGAGGGGGCGAUGUAAGGGGGAGGGCGUCGAGUCCUUUCCGAUGACGGUAACAAUCUCAGUGAUACGGCCUAGCCAUGCAUCAUAGCCGGCAUCCACCGGGAAGUAUCGAAGCAGCUCGCACGCCAUGAGCAGCACCACUUGCUCAUUCACCCAUUCGAGAUGGGCAUGGGAGGUGGAAGCCGUGGCGGUGCGGCCCUCCCAUUGCAUGGAGGGGUGCAUGGAGGAAGCUUGUUGCUCGGGGGUGGUGGUGUCAGUAGCGGCGGCCUCGGCACCGUGGAGUGAUGAUCAGCGCCACGGCCCAAUGGUGCGGUCAUGACAACCCGGGCUGCCCUGCGCUCAGCACACACACUAUGAGCGUCUGUCAUGGGGUGGGCGAAGCUUGAGCUAAAACUGGAGCUGAAGAACAGCUCCGCACACCUACCUUGCGCGCCAAAUGUCAUAAUUCGGGCUCCGUAGACCCAAAGAGGUUCGAACACUGAGGUGGGCUCGCUCUCCUACCGUAUUCUGCCUCUCAACCUCACGACGACUCUCCGGUGGCUCGAGCUAUGGGAUAUGAACAAGAACACUUGCAUAGUUUACCCAUGUUCAGGCCACGUUGCGGUGUAAAACCCUACUCCUCCUUGUCUGGAUUGCUUCAGGUGGAAGACAAGUAAAAAGGGAGGGGGUUCUUGCCAUAAUAGAGUUGGUGGAUCCCCUUGCUAUGGAGGCAGGAUGUCCCUCUUAUACAUGACUUGGUCCUCUUCCGCCCAAAACACACACUUGGCGCGAAGGGUUGCCACGACAACCAUUUUGAAAGGGGACAAGACUACAUCGUACCCUGACAAAGGCGGUCUUCCCUUACUAAAGCUCUUCACCAUGACACGCUGGUGGGCUCGAGGGUGACCUCCAUCCCGCUGAGCCCCCGGUCUUGGUCCUCUUGCACCAAGUAGGAACCCUUUAGGUGUUUCUUUGGUAACCCACGGGUUGGCUCUGCUCCCUUAACACCAAAGGGGAAAGCCUAUCUGUCUGUGCUUGCUGGUACCGACCCUGGCGCAGUCCUGCGUGGCUUACAUUACCCGCGUGAGGAGGCAGGACCGUGCGAUCCCGACAUGUCAUCCUUGGUUAGUCCACUCCAUGCGAGCCCCAGGGGGCGGCGUCACGAGGCGAAUUCACGACAUGGAACUCGGGGGGAAUGGCCUCAAGAGGAACUCUAGCGGUCCCUGACAACCUUCGAUGAUUCGUACCUCGCGAGGAGGGCGCCUCACUAGGGUCAAAUUCCUGGGCCUUGGCGGAAAUCACUUCCGGGCACACAACUCCUGCCAUGCACUGGGCCGCAAACAGACGGGCCUGGGUACCCCCAGUCCCAAGACCCCGACAGGCACGACGGGGUGAAGCAUGCGGUGCUAGCACUACGAGGGAUGCGAAAGGAGUAGGGCGACUACGUGGCAACCUCGAUCAAAUCUGCACACGCACUAGAGGGCACUAACAUGGAGGAGGGGGCACACACGCAUCUUUGGCAAACAAAUUCAGAGGACCAUGCAGAGCAAACGGAGCGUGUCGAUGACACGACACAUACGACGCCUAUGAGGAGUUAGCAAUAGCUAAAAGGGCAGGGACGGAGGCUCUGCUCACCUAGUCUCAUUUUGGACACGAAGACGAGGCUGGGGAUGGCACAACUCAAUGGUAGCGACGUGAGGAUCUCUGGCACAGUUCAUGUCCUGAACUGCAACUGACUAAGGGGAAGAAGGGGAGUAACGAAGGAAGGCCUUGAGCUUGCCCUUGACGCCAAAAUGGGCCCGGAAUGAAGACACAAGCUCGGGGGCGAGAUUGACGACGCCUACGGGCACCUGACGCCGGCGACGAGCUACUACCGGAUCCCGUCAUGGAUCUGGUGAGGGCUAGCAGGAUCAAGGCAAGGUGAUGAGAGGAGGCGGCGACACGGGGAGGGAGAGGGGAAGUGGGGAAAACCCUUGGGCGAGGGUGUGGCUUUAUAGGAGGGCCUCAACGCUGGCUUGGCCACGGUGGCAAUGUGCAGGGCCGAUGCUCCUUUUACAAAAAGAGAGGACACAGGGAGGAAGUAAAGCCGGGACUGGCGAGUCACUAUAGUUGGGGCCGCACAUGGCAUCCACGCUGGCUUACCUCGAGGAGUGGUUUUUGGGCUAGGCUGCGACUCGCUACCUGCGCUUGUUGGCCGCUCGGUGCUGCUGACUAGCUGGCUAGCUAGCUAGUUGGCUGCUAUUGUAUUCCUUUUAAAUAAAAGUAAGGCAUUGUUUUUUUUAAAUGAAAUGGCCAGGAAAAGGAUGGUCUAAAAAAUAAGAAAUAGCAUUUUCUUAACUCACAAAAUAUGUCCUAUUUUUAUAGAACACAUAGGGUAUUUUAGAACCACAAUUUAAAUGGCACUUAACUUAAGAAGGCAAGUUGUUGGUUGUUUUUUACAAAAUGGUACAGUGGCACAAGGUCAAUCUUAGUUUUUAAAACCCAUUCAUUACAUUUACAAUUGUAGCAAUAUUUUUGAAGAAGGUGAUGGCAAGGUAGAAAAUCAACACAUUGCAUAAUUUUGAAUAAAAGAGGGAGGAAGUUAUUUUCCAAAGAAUUUGUAGGAAGGUUUUUUUGACUCAUGAGAAUACUAGUUGUUGCCAGAACAUCAUCACAACAUCAACUCCACUCCAACACAACACAAGCAAGAAGGAGAAAUAAAAUAAAACAAUUUCCAUGAUGAUAAUGAUGUUAUGAUGCAAGUGAAAGACAUGAAUCACCAAACCUUAUUAAGUGAAAGCAAAGUUGUCAUGGCAUAGAGGGUUCAUCAUGCAAAUGUUACAUGGAUGCACUUGGGUUGUUACAACUCUCCCAAACAACAAGAGGAUCUCGCCUCGAGAUUUAGGAUUGAAAGAACUUAUGAUAUUCGAAACGGAGGAGGUCCUCAUGUUCCCAAGUGGCUUCUUUAUCUGGAUGGUGUGACCCCUUAACUUUGAGGAAUUUGCCAGACUUGUUGCGAGUCUUGCGCAAGGUGUCUUCAAAAAUAGCAACUGGAUGCUCAUGAUAAGAAAGGUCUACUUGGAGAUCAAUGUUUUGGUGCGCUCGGGAGUCUUGAAAGAGUUCCGGAGCUGAGAUACAUGAAAGACAUCAUGCAUAUUGGAUAAAUUUGAAGGGAGCUCGAGUUGAUAGGAAAGGUCUCCUCUUUUCCCAUUAAUCUAGAAAGGAUCCACACAACAUGGUGCAAACUUCCCUUUCAUGCCAAAUCGCUGAGUACCAUUCAUAGGUGAUACCCGAAGAUAAACAAAGUCCUCGAUCUAGAAUGCUAAGUCAUGAUGCCUAUUAUCAUAGUAACUCUUCUCACGGGAUUGAGCGGCUUUGAGAUGAUCUCGAAUGGCACGACACAUUUAUUCUACUUUUAAGAUCAUGUCAUUCCCAAGAAUUUCACACUCACCGGCUUCAGACCAAUUGAGCAGGGUACGACACUUCCUACGAUAGAGUAUCUCGAAUUGGGCCUUGCUAGAGCUUGAUUAGAAACUAUUGUUGCACGAUAAUUCAGCAAACGGGAGCCAGUCUUCCCACUUCAUGUCGAAAGAGAUAACACAAGCUCUGAGCAUGUCUUUAAGAAUUUGAUUGACUCUCACCACUUGACAACUUGUCUCAGGAUGGAAGGGUGUACAUAAAUGAACCUUAGUGCCCAUUGCAGAUUGGAAUGAAUCCGGGAACUUGGAAGUGAAAAUGCUUCCUUGGUUUGAAGAAAUAACCUUAGGAACACCAUGCAAAUAAACUAUCCUUGAAGUGUACAACUAUGCGAAAUGAGCUGCUGAAAUAUAUUCUUUGACUAGAAGGAAGUGGGCAACUUUAGACAGCUUGUCGAUGACCACAAAGAUGUCAUCGUUUCCUCUAAUGGACUUAGGAAACCCAGUGACAAAAUCCAUACCAACAUGAUCAAAUUUCCACUCGGGUAUAAGCAGAGGAUGAAGAAGACCUGCUGGACGUUGAUGUUCUGCUUUCACUCUGCGACGUACCUCGCACUCGUUCACAAACUGAGCAAUCUCAUGUUUCAUGUGAGUCCACGAGAAGGUUUGCUUAAGAUCAUGAUAGAUCUUAUAACUCUCUGGAUGUAUAGAGAGGAGAGAAUUGUGAGCUUCGUCCAUGAUAACUUUUCUGAGCAGUCCUUCUGGAACCACAUGACGAUCCUCGAAGAACAAAGUUCCUUUGUCAUCCACGCGGAAGUACUUAUACAUUGGAAUGCUUUGUGCCAAGCCUAUCUUCACUUUCUUCACCAUAGCAUCAAGAAGUUGAGCUUGGCGGACUUGGUCUUCAAAGGUAGGAGAAAUCCGAAGGAUGUCAAGAAAUCCUUGAGGAACUACUUGAAGGUUGAGCUUCUUGAAAGACUCACAAUGAUCAGGAUGGAAUGGAUUGAGAAUGAGAUUGUUGCAGCAAGCCUUUCUACUCAAAGCAUAUGCAAUCACAUUUGCUUUUCUUGGAGUAUAGUCAAUGCUUGGAUUGUAAUUUGUGAUGACUUCACGCAACGUGUGUGCUGAAGAUUGAGAUUAGGUUGAGUAAAUGUAUAUAUAUUUCAAACUCUUGUGUUUGGUGUAGACUUCAACUUUCCUUCCCAACAAGAGGUGUAUUCAAUUAACGAAAGAAUGGAAAAGUACUAUCAACUCAAGAUUGUGAGUGGGGUAGUUUUUCUCAGUUGGCUUCAACUCACAAGAGGAAUAAGAUUCCACUUUCUUGUCUUGCAUAAGAACACCACCAAGACCUUGCAAAGAUGCAUCACAAAAAAAUUGGAAUGGCUUGGAAUCAUCAGGAGGAGUUAGAACCGGAGAUGAGGUGAGCCUGUCCUUGAGUGUAAUGAUAGCCGUAUCAUACCCGGGAGUCCACACAUAUUUCACACUCUCCAGAAGAAGGUUGGAUAGAGGCUCAUAAAUCUUGUAUAAGUUCUCCUUCAAUCUUCUAUAAUAGCUUGCAAGCCCGAGAAAUCUUCUUAGCUGCUUGACAUUCCGAGGAGGAUCGCACGUGACAAUGGCUUGAACCUUUUUACUAAGAGAGAGAGGGCACAGGGAGGAAGAAAAGCAGGGUGGAGAGUCACUACAGUUGGGGCCGCACAUGGCAUCCUUGAUGGCUUAACUCGAGGAUUGGGCGCUGCACUGGGCUACGACUCGCUAUGCGCCCUUGUUGGCCGUUGGCUGGGCCGCUCGCUCGUGUUGGCUGGCUGGCUAGCUAGCUAGUUGGUUGUUGUUGUAUUCCUUUUAAAUAAAAGUAAGGCAUUGUAUUUUAUAAAUGAAAUGGCAAGGAAAAUGAUGGUCUAAAAAAUAAGAAAUAGCAUUUACAUAACUCACAAAAUAUGUCAUGUUUUUAUAAAACACAAAGGGCAUUUUAGAACCACAAUCUAGAUGGCACUUAACUUAAGCUAGCAAGCUAUUGUUUUUUUACAAAAUGGUACAGUGGCACAAGGUAAAUCGUAGUUUUUAAAACCCAUUCAUAACAUUUACAAUUGUGGCUAUACUUUUGAAGAAGGUGAUGGCAAGGUAGAAAAUCAACACAUUGCAAAAUUUGAAUAAAAGGGGGAGGAAGUUAUUUUCCAAAGAAUUUGUAGGAAGGUUUUUUUUGACUCAUGAGCAUACUAGUUGUUGCAGGCACAUCAUCACAACAUCAAAUCCACUCCAACAAAACACAAGCAACAAGGAGAAAUAAAAUAAAACUAAUUCCAUGAUGAUAUGAUGAUAUCAUGCAAGUGAUAGACAUGAAUCACCAAACUUUAUUAAGUGAAAGCAAGGUUGUUAUGGCAUAGAAGGUUCAUCAUGCAAAUGUUACACGGAUGGACUUGGGCUGCUACAACUGUCCCACACUACAAGAGGAUCUCGCCUCGAGAUCUAGGAUUGAAAGAACUUAGGAUAUUCAAAACGGAGGAGGUCCUCACGUUCCCAAGUGGCUUAUUUAUCGGAAUGGUGUGACCGCUUAACUUUGAGGAAUUUGACAGACUUGUUCUGAGUCUUGCGCUCGGUGUCUUCAAAAAUAGCAAUUGGAUGCUCAUGAUAAGAAAGGUCUGCUUGGAGAUCAAUGUUUUCAAAAUCAAUGGUGUGCUUGGGAGUCUUGAAAGAGUUCCGGAGCUGAGAUGCAUGAAAGACAUCAUGCAUAUUGGAGAAAUUUGAAGGGAGCUCGAUUUUAUAGGAAAGUUCUCCUCUUUUGCCAUUAAUCUUGAAAGGAUCCAAAAAAAACAUGGUGCAAGCUUCCCUUUGAUGCCAAAUCGCCGAGUACCAUUCAUAGGUGAUACCCGAAGAUAAACAAAGUCCACGAUCUGGAAUGCCAAGUCAUGAUGCCUAUUAUAAUAGUAACUCUUCUCACGGGAUUGAGCGACUUUGAGAUUAUCUCGAAUAACACGGCACAUUUAUUCUGCUUUUGUGAUCAUGUCAUUCCCAAGAAUUUGACACUCACCGGUUUCACACGAGUUGAGUGGGGUACGACACUUCCUGCCAUAGGGAAUCUCGAAUAUGGCCUUGCGAGAGCUUCAUUAGAAACUAUUGUUGCAGGGGAAUUCAAUAAUUGGGAGGCAGUCUUCCCACUUGAUGUCGAAAGAGAAAACACUAGCUCUGAGCAUGUCUUUAAGAAUUUGAUUGACUCUCUCCACUUGACCACUUGUCUAAGGAUGGAAGGUUGUACAAAAAUGAACCUUAGUGCCCAUUGCAGAUUGGAAGGAAUCCGAGAACUUGGAGGUGAAGAUGCUUCCUCGGUUUGAAGAAAUAACCUUAGGAACACCAUGCAAAGAAACUAUCCUUGAAGUGUACAACUAUGCCAGUUGAGCUGCUGAAAUAGAUUCUUUGACUAGAAGGAAGUGGGCAACUUUAGACAGCUUGUCCAUGACCACAAAGAUGGCAUCGUUUCUUCUAUUGGACUUAGGAAACCUAGUGACAAAAUCCAUCCGAACAUGAUCAAAUUUCCACUCGGGUAUAGGCAGAGGAUGAAGAAGACCCACUGUACGUUGAUGUUCUGCUUUCACUCUGCGACGUACCUCACACUCGUUCACAAACUGAUCAAACUCAUGUUUCAUGUGAGUCCACAAGAAGGUUUGCUUAAUAUCAUGAUAGAUCUUAUAACUGUCUGGAUGUAUCGAGAGGAGAUAAUUGUGAGCUUCAUCCAGGAUAACUUUUCUGGGCAAUCCUUUUGGAACCACAAGACGAUCCUCGAAGAACAAGGUGCCUUUGUCAUCCACACGGAAGCACUUUUACUUUAGAAUGCUCUGUGCCAAGCCUAUCUUCACUUUCUUCACCAUAGCAUCAAGAAGUUGAGCUUGGUGGACUUGGUAUUCCAAGGUAGGAGAAAUCUGAAGUUUGUCAAGAAAUCCUUGAGGAACUACUUGAAGGUUGAGCUUAUUGAAAGACUCACAGAGAUCAUGAUGGAAUGGAUUGAGAAUGAGAUUGUUGUAGUAAGCCUUUCUACUCAAAGCAUAUGCAAUCACAUUUGCUUUGCGUGGAGUAUAGUAAAUGCUUGGAUUGUAAUUUUCGAUGACUUCACCCAAUGUGUCUGCUGAAGAUUGAGAUUUGGUUGAGUAAAUAUAUCUAUUUCAAACUCUUGUGGUUGUUGUAGACUUCAACUUGCCUUCCCAACAAGAGGUGUCUCCAAGUAACCAAAGAAUGUACAAGUAUUGCCAACUCAAGAUUGUGAGUGGGGUAGUUUUUCUCACUUGGCUUCAACUGACAAGAUGUAUAAGCUUCCACUUUGUUGUCAUGCAUAAGAACACCACCUAGACCUUCUAAAGAUGCAUCACAGAAAAAAUUGGAAUGGCUUGGAAUCAUUAGGAGGAGUUAGAACCGGAGAAGAGGUGAGCUUGUCCUUGAGUGUAAUGAUAGAAAAAUCAUACCCAAGAGUCCACACAUAUUUCACGCUCCUCAGAAGAAGGUUGGACAGAGGCUUAUCAAUCUUGUAUAACUUCUCCUUGAAUCUUCUAUAAUAGCUUGCAAGCCCGAGAAAGCUUCUUAGCAGCUUGACAUUCAGAGGAGGCUCGCACGUGACAAUGGCUUGAACCUUUUUAGGAUCGACCUUAAUGCCCUCGGCUGAGAUGAUACACUACAGUGGACCAAUUCAUUGAGCCAAAACUCACAUUUAGAGAACUUUGCAUAAAGCCAAUGAUUUCUUAGCUUCUCAAGCACAAGCCAGAUAUGUUCCGCAUGUUCUUCCUCGGUAUCGGAGAAGACUAGAAUGUCAUCAAGAUACACCAAGACGAACUCAUUCUUGACUGAAGAGAAUACAAAGUUCAUCUUGAAAGAGCAUGUCGGAGGAGCAUUUCCGAGACCAAAAGACAUCACCGUGUACGCAUAAGAGACAAAGCUUGUCUAAAAAGAUGUCUUGGGAAUAUAUUUUUCAUGAAUAUGCAUUUGAUGAUAGCCCAUAUGUCAUGGUUUUGUCAUGGCCGAUGUCCUUGUGAAAGGACUUAAUAAAGGAGCCAUCGCACCUUGGUGGUGACUCAAAGGGGGUGAGUGAAAGCAAGACUCAGAUUUACCCAGGGUCUUCCCCUCGUGUAGAGGUAAAAGCCUACGUCCUGCUUUGUGUAGAUUGAUGAUGGUUUCGAUUACAAGGAGGGCGUAACUCGCCUGACCUAGCUCUCGAUGAUUUCUAACCUGCCCUAUCUUCCCCAGGGACUCGCCUUUAUAUACUGGUCGAGGCCCUAGGAUUUGCAAGAGUCCUAGACAUGCUACAGAUCGUGGUCUUCCUUAUCUCUAAGUCUCCGUGCUUUCCAACACUGAAACCUCCUUGGCGGUCUAUCCUCUGUAUAGCUCCUGAACCGCCAUCCGGCUCCUGGGCCCCUUGGGCCAAGGCUUGUAUUACCAAAGGAUGAGUCGCCCCUUUAGUGACCCGGCCCAGCUAGGGCGGGUUACACCACAGGUAAUAUUCCCAACAUUAGGCCCCAGAUUGUCUUGAAUUUAUUCACGCCAAUAAACAUCCACUCAUUUUGGGGCGACUUGUAUUACUCCUAUCUUUUGACGAUCGAUAAGCCGCCAUCCAUCAUGCAUUGGUUGAGCUGCCAAGCAGUUUUCAAUGACAUCACCUUAUCCCUCCAAUUUCGGGACUUAAUGAUGCAAUCACCCAACGGAUCUUUCACAUCGCCAUUUAUUUAUCCCAAAAAUCCAGGCGCCAUAAUUGCAAAUUUCCAGUUUGUCUCCUCUAUUCCCGCGGCUACCGCCUCGAUUCCAGCACCUGGCCUUUAAAUAACCGCAGGGGAGUGGGGGCACCGUCACGUACCCCCACUUCGACUUCCUCAUCGACCUCCGUCUUCCUCGCGCCAGCGCCCAUGUCUCUCUGCCGUUCCCGAAGCUUCGCUGCCAGCCAUCACGGUCCAGACGUCUCGAGGCCAACCGAAGGCGCAGGAUCCACCGCAAACCUUCCGCAUCCUCCGCCGAGGGCCGCCCUUCUUUCUUAGGUAAGCAUUCUUCCCCCCAUUAGGGUUAGAUCUUGCUGCCAUGUCUAGUAUAGGUUAACUUCGGAAUGUAGUGAUAAUCCCUUUUCUAUCUUAGAUCAAUCAGCCAUACUCCCGAUAGAUCCUCCGUAGUAUUGAAGCACGGUAGCAUCACGGUCUCUGCUGGCCAUUUUGAUGUUUUCUCUUCAUAGAUUCAUACAGUACUCCUUUCGCGUUCUUGCGUUUGUAGUCUUCGCAGCUUCGUUUAAGCAUUAUCUCCUUAAUUUGAUCCACCCGUAGAUCCGUAUUUCAUUGAUUUCUUUUAGAAACUUGUUUAUCCCACUCCGGGAAUAUCCCUAAGGAAAGAAUCCUUUUUAAAAUCGCCACUCGCCAUCCUCCACCACAACGAGUUAGAACAUUGCCAAAGCUACGCCUUUGAUUGCCGAAGGGCGAAUCAUAACGCCUUUGUAGACAUACCAUAAGUCGCUCAACUGGCGAGUUAGGAUAUCCUCAUAUUCAGGUCUUUUAGUCACCUGAUGGCGAGUCAUAAGGCCCUUAUAGACAUAUUGUAGAUCUCCAACUGGUGAGUUACCAGGUUUUAUGGUCCUUAAUGAGCUGCCUUGUUCCUUCUUUUUUGUAGUCAUGGUUAGCAUCUCAAAAUGCGAUUGGCUGCAAACCAAGAUUAAUGACGCCUUUGUUGAGAAAGUUGUCAAGUCGGGUCAUCUUGAUAGUAAGGAAGUCAUUGGUUGGCGGACCGCCCAGACGAGGUGAUUCCCAAUCCUACCGAGGGAGAAGUAGUUAUUUUCAUUGAUCAUCUUGAACGAGGCUUCAAACCGGCCAGAUCAAAGUUCUUUAGAGAUGCUCUGCAUUUCCUCAAUGUUCACCCUCAGGAUUUGGGACCCAAUUCCAUAUGUAAUAUCUGUCAGUUCCAUGUUUUUUGCGAGGCAUACGUGCAGAUAGAGGCCACAGUUCCAUUAUUUUGGUACUUUUUCCAUUUGAACCGCCAUACCGAAUUUUCCAACAGCCCAACUUGGAACUUGGGGGGUCAACAUCCAGCAACGCCGCGAACACGGGUUUCUGUCUGUCCUCCUGCCCAGCCAUCCCAAAGGCUGGGCCAAGUCUUGGUUUUAUUGUCGUGACACUUCUCCUCCCGGUGAGAACCCACUUUCGGGUUAUAGAGAAGAUAGCUUACCCAUGGACUUCAAGCUGCUAGAGAAGCUUACGGAAGAAGAAGAAUCAGAAUUCAUCCCCAUCUUCUCCGAGCUGCGGUCUUUGACCAAUAAUGGGCUUAUCGGGGUUAACCUAAUCCGUUGCUGGGUGGAGUGGAAUAUUCUUCCUCUGAGUCGCUGGAACGGUCUGAUGUGCGAAUACGAUGGCAGCGUGAACCAUCCGCAAUGCUUUCAUCAUAAAAGAUUCGCCGAGAAAGGCAUUGUUGACAUAAUCAAGAAGUUAACCGGCGAGUCCUUGGAAAACUGUGCCAAGGUUGGGCUCAAGCCUUUCUACCUCACCAAUCCGGCUCCACCGGUAACAAUCCGGCGCUAGUGUUCUAGGUUUGAAUUUUGAUUCUAUCCACCAGAAAGGUGAUCCAUUUUGGUCUCGAAGGCCAAAGGUGACCGCCCAGAAAACAACUAAGCCACCACCGAAGAAGAAGAAAAAGAAGACGAGCAAAGGCAAAGCCGCCAUCAAGGAUUCAUCCGUCGUGCGCGAGUCCCAAGCCGGCGAAGAACAGUUGGAGGUAAAAUUUGACCCUUUUGUUUAUCAUCAUUAUGCUCCAACUUAUACUUAUAGCAUGUUACCUUUAUGCAUAGGACGAUGACUAUGAGAGCCUAGAUGACGUGGUUGAGGUAAUUUCUAUUUCUUCCGACUCAACGUCUUCUUCACCUAGGCCGGCCAGGCAGAUUUGUGGAAAAGUUCCCAUGUCUCACCCAAAUGCUUGUCUGGACCCUGAUUUCCUUUUGAAGAAGGCGAAGUAUACUCCCAAACGUAAAACCCAGAGCCGCUCUGGCGACUUAGUUUCCGGGUUACCUGAAAAGACAACCAGUCGGAAGCGCACAAGUGAGGCAUACUCCUGUUAAACACACUCUCCUCCUUGUAGAAAAUGUGAUUCACAACUCAUUCACUCCUUGAACUUUUAUUCUUUCAGGUUUCUCCUCCUUCAUCUAGCGUCUCAGUGAUGUCAGCUCUUCUGCCAAUAUUUCGUGUACAAGGGCAAGUUGUUUUAUUAACCUUUUCCCUUCCCAAUAAUGAUAUUUAUUCUAACUUUGAUGUCCUUAUCUCAUAGCACAAGCAAAGAAGAGAAAAACUGGUGACUUGUCUUCUGCUCCUAGGACGGCUGAGAUGUUAGGCGUGAGCACCUCUGCUCUAGAGCUUGAUGAGGAGCAAGCGUUAGCUCAUGAUGAUCUUGCGGAUUACAUUCCUAACGUCCAGAACGACUCUCCAGGCUCUUUAAACGAAACUACUGACAACGUUAACCCACCGAGUUCUUCCAAAGCGACUAAAGAUCCAGAUACCGUAAUUAUCAUUGGUACUGCUUACUCCAAACCUGCAGCGGCGGUCUUAUCCAAACACACAUCAUAAGAAUCCCAUCCAUCUGCAGAACAAGAUGUCACUAAGCUGAAGCUUCCCCAUUAUGUGAAGCUCGAAUUUGACCAACUCUGCUCUGGCUUCGUAAGUCGGCUGAAGACGAGUUAUGAAAUGGAUAAGAGCUUUAUCCACAUGAUGAAAAUCAAACAUGAGGUACGCCCUUUAUUAUGUGUUCUUCCACCCAUUAGCCUUCCAGGAAACUAGUGUUGCUUGAUGAAAUAAUAUUUGUUGCAAUCUCUGGUAGACCCAUAUCUUUCCAUAGCCCCCAAGGGUCGGCUCAUCUUUUGAAAGAUUAGCCGGGUCUUAAAUUGAUAGAAAAACUUCAAACUGUAACCCCCAAGGGCCGGGUCAUCUUUUGAAAGAUGAGUCGGGUCUUGUAUUAGAUAAAAACUUCAAACUGUAGCCCCAAGGGCCGACUCAUCUUUUGAAAGAGUAACCGGGUCUUGUAUUAGAUAGAAAAACUUGAACAUGUAGCCCCCAAGGGCCGGGUCAUCUUUUGAAAGAUGAGUCGGGUCUUGUAUUAGAUAAAACAUCAACCUGUAGCCCCCAAGGGUCGGGUCAUCUUUUGAAAGAUGAGUCGGGUCUUGCAUUAGAUAAAAACUUCAACCAGUAGCCCCCAAGGGUCGGGUCAUCUUUUGAAAGAUGAGAUGGGUCUUGUAUUUUGUAUGACUUCGAAUUGAAUCAUACAUUAGCCCCGAAGUGUCAGGGAUGUUUCUUGCAACAGUUCUGAAACUUGUCUCCCCACAAUUUUUUUGCAGGAAUUUGUGACUCGGGAUGAGUCAUCUCUUGCUGACUUCAAGAAAACAUAGGUGAACAGCAGGAUGCUCGGACUGCGUCUGAAGAAAAAUAUCAGUUGGCUCUGACUAACAUGGAGAAGAUGAAAGCCGACCAUAACAUAUUUGAGAAGAAAGCCAAUGCUGAUGAAGCCGUCCUCCUCAAGCGGGCAGAAAAACCCGAGGCAAAGUUAGAAGACACCCUACACNNNNNNNNNNNNNNNNNNNNNNNNNNNNNNNNNNNNNNNNNNCUACACGAGCUCUCCGGGCUAAAAAAGCAUGUCUCCAACAUGACCCAAGCCAUCUAUGGUAAGAAGAAAUUCCCUCGUUCAAAAAGAGAAGUCGUAAUUUUAGUUUCCAAAUCUUGAUUGUCAUUGUUUUAUCCUUUGUAGGUCCACGAGCCGCCAAUCUCCAAGACGACUGCAUACUAAAGCUUAAAGCGAUUUACACCUUUACAGAGCAGCUGUAUACAGGGAGCAUGCUGACGAUGAAGGGAGUAAUGGGCAACAAGGAACAAAUCAAGUCCAUCAAGAAUAUGCUGGGCUGCUUGUCAAUGUUGCCACCACAAGUAGAAGAGCUAAAGAGGUCAGCCGCCCGCGAGGGAGCUCUGACCACCCUAAGCUGGUGCCUGGCGUACACCCCUGAACUCAAGCCAGAGGAAGAAGCUGUUGGUUACCCUAAGCUGAAGGACGAUGAGUUGGAGUUUACUGAAGAUGAUUACCACCGGAUUGUGCAAGAGUCCCGUGCUGCGAUGACUCAACCGGCGGCCAGUUUGGACUUGAACAAAUACCAGGCUGCGUAUGACAACAACAACAAAAAGGUGACUCCUCCUUCAUUUGGAAUUACCAGCCUCACUCCUCGCCGGCCCAAGAAUCCCUUCGACUUUGAAGCUGAAUUUUCUAUCUUUUUGAACGACGAAGAUGAAUUCGUCGCCUUGUCCAAGUGCAACUGGAAACUCGGCGACUUACAAAUUAAAGAUGGAGAGAGCUCAAGGAAAGGCGACCCGAAGGCGGCUUAAGUCUAACUAGGGUGUAGUCAUUGCUGGAAAAAAUUGAUCUUUCCUUGACCAGGAGAUGAUACCCGGUAUGGUCGUGUGAGCCAUGUAAUAUCUGUUAGGCAAACAAUCGUUUAUCUAUGCCUUUUGCUUGACAUUGCUGAAUAGUUUACCUUUUAGCCGAACCAUGAGUCGUCUUUACCAAUCUUGAUGCUUGAUUGUUUAGGAAGUGUCAUAUGUUGACAACAUAAAGCUUCUUCAACUUGUUUAUCAGGGAGAAAACGCCAUAGGUCGACUCAAUAAGUCAUGGCGAGUUAUAAACAAGGAGCCGACUCAGUGAGUCGCGGCAAGUCAUAUAAAGUUUUACAAAACCUUGCGACGGUGCCAUGAACAUAGUCGUAAAAAUUUGUCGGCUCGAUGAGCUACGACAGGAUAGGACGAGUUUGCAAAACUCUAGUGCUACCCGAAGAAGGCUUUUGCAAUAGCCCAAGUUUUUAGACCGGCUGAUCAGGCGCGAGUCAGGCUUUAGUGAAGCAGGUUUAGUGAACCAAUGGUUUCUCUAUUUUCCAUGUGUGGCUCUGGCCGGUACCUUUCAUGUUUUAAGCAAGGCGAGUUCAGGGUCCAAAAAGCGGAUUGACUCGCCAUGAGUACAUGGGUCCAUAUGGCAACUCGUCCGACACAUAGUCCAGUAUAAAUUUUUGCUAGCCAAGAGGGUAUUCAGGCUGAACUCAGUGAGUGGAAGCCCCCAAGUGACCUAUAAUUAGGGAAAAGUCGGACAUAGGAAUGCAUAAGCAUUUUACACUCUUACUGUAAAACGACUUGGGAACUAGUAGCCCCCAAGUAAGCUAGCUUAAUUCUCAAAACCAUAUAAGGCGCCCAUGUUUGAACCAUGCAACAUGGCAACUUUGGUCCUCUUUGGCUUAUCAGUAUCCAAUUUUGAAACUAGUGCAGCGUGGCGACUUAUGCUCUUUGGUACUGAUAGCGUCCAUGCUUGGACGACUCAUAGAACAAUAAAGACUCAUGCUUUCCAGAAGCUGAAAUGGCAAAGGACCCCAAAGUUUGUGGGUGCCAGCUUUAUUGCUUUAUAAAUAAAAGAUUACAAGUUUUGAGAUUUGCCGAAAAGAAAGGAGCCCAUUGCUCUAGGUGUAGUAAGGCCGCAGAUGGGCUAUAUUCCAGGGGCGAGUUGUCUCAACCUCUAUAGUUGGCCGAUCAGGGCAAAGAUCCACCAAGUAGUAUGAGCCGUUCCGAAGAUUCUUGCUGAUGGCAAACGGGCCUUCCCAUGGAGGUGAUAACUUAUGCAUACUAGUGUGGUCUUGAAUCAAUCGGAGCACUAAGUCGCCCUCUUGAAAAGUCCGGCUUUUGACACGGCGGUUGUGAUAGCAUCGCAAGUCCUGUUGAUAGAUCGCCGAUCGCGAUGCGGCCAUGUCUCGCUCUUCCUCCUAAGCAUCCAACGAAUCUUGUCGUGCCAACUCGUUGUUCUGUUCCACAUAGGCAGUGACUCGUGGUGAAUCGUGUCUGGUGUCACUUGGCAACACCACCUCUGCCCCGUAGACCAGAAAGAAAGCAGUAAAACCUGUGGAGCGGCUUGGGGUGAUCCUGAUGCUCCAUAAUACUAAGGGCAAAGCUUCCACCCAACAUCGUGGAGUACGCUCCAAAGGUACCGUAAGCCGGGGCUUGAUUCCACGCAUUAUUUCCUGAUUCGCCCUUUCUGCCUGUUCAUUUGACUGGGGAUGUGUGGCUGCUAUAACGUCAAUCCGGAUAUGCUCUCGACCGCAAAACUCUUGCAUCGUGCCCUUUGAUCGAUUAGUACCAUUGUUAGUAAUGAUACUAUGAGGGUAUCCAAACCGGAAGAUCAACUUUUUCAAGAAUUUGACAGCCGUAUCCGCAUCACAGCUACUAACAGGUUCUGCUUCAACCCACUUAGUGAACUUGUCAACCGCCACCUAUAGGUGAGUCUUUUUAUUGGACGACAUCUUGAAAGGACCAACCAUGUACAGCCCCCAGACUGCAAACGGCCAAGUGAUUGGAAUCAUCCGUAACUCCUGAGCCAGCAUGUGCAUCUGGCGCCCAAAUUUCUAGCAACCAUCGCAUCGGCGAACUAUCUCUUCCGCGUCUGCAGGAGCCGUCAACCAAUAAAACCCAUGCCUAAAGGCUUUGGAAACCAAGGAGCGUGACCAGGCAUGAUGACCACGGUGACCCGCAUGAAUUUCAUUGAGGCUCAUACAUCCUUCCUCGGAAGAGACACACCUUUGAAAUACACCUGAAGUGCUUCGCUUAUGCAACUCGUCGUUGUGUAUGACCAUGGAUUUGCACCGACGGACGAUUUGGCGAGCCAAUAACUCAUCCGCGGGUAACUCGCCUCGUGUGAGAUACGCCAUAUAGGGAAUCGCCCAAUCUGGGGUAGCACGAAGAGCCGUCACAAGUUGAGACUGAGGGUCCGACGCCGCCAAAUCUUCCUCUGAAGGUAGCCUCACCAAGGGGUUAUGUAACACAUGCAAAAAGACAUUGGGAGGAACCAGCUUACGCCGUGAACCGAGACGGGAAAGAGCAUCUGCUUGAUAACCAUGAAAAUGACCUGCCACGUCCGACACAGCUCGCCUGUAAGCCGCCAUCAAGGGAUCUCCAGAAUCCUAGGUGCCAGAAACCUGCUGCGCCACCAGAUCUGAGUCGCCCAAACAUCUAACUCGCGUGAGGUUCAUCUCUUUGGCGAGUCGCAACCCAUGGAGCAAGGAUUCAUACUCUGUUGCAUUGUUGGUACAUGGAAACAUGAGCCGGAGGACAUAGCAGAAUUUGUCACCCUGAGGCGAAGUUAACACCACACCAGCCCCCGAGCCUUCCAACUGCCUAGAUCCAUCGAAAUAGAUGGUCCAAUAUGUGUGAUCGGGCCUAUCUUCUGGAAUCUUUAACUCGGUCCAGUCAUUAAUGAAAUCCACCAGUGCUUGAGAGAUAAUGGCCGUACGGGGAGUAUAUCCCACGUGAUGAGGACCUAACUCGAUUGCCCACUUAGCAAUCCGUCCAGUUGCUUCUCGAUUUUGUAUAAUGUCACCAAGGGGGGCAGAACUGACCACCGUGAUGGGAUGCUCUUGGAAGUAGUGCUUCAGCUUUCGACUCGCCAUAAACACCCCAAAGAACAACUUCUGCCAGUGCGGGUAGCGUUGUUUGGAGAGGGUCAGGACUUCGCUGAUAAAAUAUACCGGUCGCUAAACCGGAUAUUCCUUCCCUUCUUCUUUCCGCUCGAUGACAACUGCCAUGCUCACCGACUUAGAAUUGGCCGCGAUGUACAAGAGCAUACGCUCCUUAUCCGUCAGAGCCGCCAACACUGGCGGCUUAGCCAGUUGUCGCUUCAAGGCUUCAAAGGCUUCAUUGGCUUCGUCCGUCCACACAAAACAAUCAGUUUUCUUGAGUAACUAAUAAAGAGGAAUGGCUUUCUCCCCCAGGCGACUUGUAAAGCGACUUAGAGCCGCGAUACGACCCGCCAUGCGUUGGACUUGGUUGAUAUUGGCCAGCUUUCCUAGCAAAGUGAUCGCUUCAAUUUUGUCCUGGUUAGCUUCAAUGCCGCGUUCCGACACACCAGAAAACCAUCCUGCAAGAACACUAAACACACACUUGGUGGGGUUAAGCCUCAUCUGGUAUACGCGCAAAUUGUCAAAUGUCUCCUUGAGAUCCUCCAAGAGAGACUCUUUCUUCUGUGAUCUGACUACGAUGUCGUCAACAUAAUCGUGGACAUUACAUCCGAUCUAGUUAUGCAAACAAUUUUGGAUGCAGCACUGAUAAGUCGCCCCGGCACUCUUGAGCCCGAACGGCAUAGACAUGUAACAGAAGGCUCCAAAGGUGUUUAUGAAUGGCUUUUCUCCUGGUCUGCCAUAGCCAUCUUGAUCUGGUGGUAUCCCGAAUAAGCAUCCAAGAAACACAAACACUCGCAACCCGAAGUUGAGUCAAUGAUUUGAUCAAUGCGGGGAAGGGCGAAGUGAUCCUUCAUACAAUCUCUGUUGAGGUCGGUGUAUUCGAUGCACAUGCGGAAAGUGUCGUUCUAUUUUAGCACCAGGACCGGGUUAGCCAACCAUUCAGGAUGGAAAACCUCGAUGAUCAACCCGGCGGCCAAAAGUCGAGCGACUUCCUCUCUAAUGACCUUACAUCGUUCCUCAUUGAACCUCUGAACGUACUGUCGAACUAGAUUUACUUUGGGGUCAGUAUUAAGAUGGUGCUUAGCGAAUUCCGUCGGUACACAUGGCAUGUCAGAAGGUUUCCACGCGAAGAGGUCCCGAUUCUCACGGAUGAAUUCGAUGAGCGCGCUUUCCUAUUUGGGAUCCACACCCGUCCCAAUAGUGAACUGCUUGGUUGAGUCGCCUGGCAUGAAGUCUAUAACCUUGGUAUCAUCCGUUGGUUUAAACUUGAGGGGCGGCUCAGAGUCGAUCGUUGGCCUCUUGAGCGGCGUCAUAUCCGUCGGGUCAACAUUGGCUUGGUGAAACUUGAGCUCCUUGGCCGUGCAAGCCGUCUCGGCAUAAGUUGCGUCUCCUUCUUCGCACUCUUGGGCUAUCUUUCUGUCUCCGCUGAUCGUAAUAGGCCCCUUAGGAGUAGGCAUCUAGAGCUUGAGAUAAACAUAACAUUGGUGAGCCAUGAAUCGAGGGUAAGCCGGCCUUCCAAACGAUGUGUGGUAAGGGCUCUUGAUUUUGACCACCUCAAACAUGAUUUUGACUCGCUCCUGUAAUUGGACUCUGUGCCAAAAGCCACGUUAAGUUUAAUCCGCCCAAUUGGAUACACCGACUUACCCGGUACAAUGCCGUGGAAAACCGUGGACGACGGCAUCAAGUCUUUGUCCAAGAGAUUCAUCCUUCGAAAGGUAUCGAAGUAUAUGAUGUCAAUGUUGCUGCCUCCAUCCAUAAGAACUUUGGAAAGGGUGUAUCCUCGGACUUGGGGAGCCAUGACAAAAGCCAAGUCGCCAGGGUUUUCAACUUGGGGCGAGUGAUCCUUCCUACUCCAGGUUUAGAGCAAUGAAGGUACCUGGGGAGCGCUGGCUCAGCCACGCUGAAAGUUCUAUGUUUCACCUUCGGGUCCCGUUUGCAGGUGCUGGUGGUGAACACAUGAUACUGCCCACUGUUCAUCUGCUUAGGGUUAUUCUGAAAACCGCUAUGAUCAUCCUGUCGCUGGAGAUCUCCUCGCGGGGGUGGUUGCUGAAACACUCCUGGCGGGUUAUACUGAUGUUGGUUGUGAACUUGGUAUUGUCCACUAUUAGGCUGUGAACCGCCCUGCAGACCUGGGUUAGAGAAACCGCCGAACGGGCUUUGGCGUGACCUGGGUGCGCCGAACUGCUGUUGUCGCUGGCCCUGAUCACCUCCUUGCCCUUUCUUGAGCGCCUCAGCUCGGAUCUCCUGCAUCACAUAGCAAUCCUCCUAGGAGUGUGUCGCCGACCCCUCAACCGUAGCAUGCUGUGGGCAGGGGCCCUUGAGCAUCUCAUGAUAGUUGUGGGGCUUCUUCCCACUGAAACCCUGAUUCUUCUGGCGCUGGUUUCCGUUGCCGGCAUUGGUAUUGGCAACUCCGUGGGACCUUCCUGUUGUCUUCUUUUACCUUGUCCGCCAUGGUUGUGGUUACCCCGUCCUUGAAAGUGGGAGUGACCUUUUGAUGUCUCGCCUCUCCUGGCGGUGCUAACCUUGUCAUCGUCCUCCCUAGGACCCUUGGUGUCAUCUAACACGGCGUAUCUGGUGAGGGUGUCCAUCACCUCGCCCAUAUCCUGCACCUUACGCUUAAGUCGCCCUAGCUUCAGUACCAGAGGCUCGUAAUGGCAAUUUUUUUCCAUAAUUAGCACUGCCUGAGCCGCCGAGAUGCCGUGCGAUGAAUGAAUGACCUCCACAACUCGUCGUGUCCAAUGAUGGGCCGACUCGUCCGGUCGUUGAACGCAGUGUUGUAAGUCGACGAUGGUCAUCGGGCCUUUAAUAGUCCCUCGGAAAUUUUUGAUGAAGCGCUCCUUUAACUCUGCCCAAGUGUUGAUGGAGUUAGGUGGCAGGUUUUUUAACCACGCACGCACCGUUCCUUCAAGCAUCAUGGUGAAAUACUUGACACAAACCCCCUCGUUCACGUCGAGCAUGUCCAUCACAAGUUCAUAACUCUCGACCCAUGACCCUAGUUCGAGAUCUGGUGUGUAAUUGGGUACCUUCCUUGGUCCUUUGAAAUCCUUCGGCAUCUGCUCAUCGCGUAGAGCGGGCAUGAGACACGACACCCCGAUGUGCCUGUCUCCGGCAUCGAGCGGUGCGGGAGGUGUCUGGGUAUAAGCCGGAUAGCCUUGACCCGCCGCGGCUGCCAUCUCCAUCUGACGCGCGGCUCGCGCUGCAUCCACAAUGUCUUGGGCUCGUGUAUCCGGCACCCCGAGCGGGUUGGUCUGAGGCAGACGCCGUUGCCCACUGGUCACCGCGGGUUGGUCCUCGUGGCGACUCCUUGUGUGACUCGCCUGGGGUGUGGAGUGUAACCAAUCAAGGUUGUGUGAGUUUGCGCGUGUUGGACCACUGUUGUCUUCAGCAUCUCGAUGGCGUUUCUUGCCUCCACCUUGGCCGGGGAGUUUCCGUAGAUCGGGAGGCACUCCAAGUGGCGGGUUGCCACCAGCACGUUGUCCACGGGAUUUGAGAAGUGGCCUCGUGGUGUCUGGAAGCGAGGUGCGUGGGCAUCCAUUGGUUGAGGUGGUGGCGGGUUAGGCAGUUGAACUGGACCUCACGUUGGAGCAGCGUGCAAGGGUCAAUCGGGUCCCACCCCAGGAGUGUGUAGGAUGUCGAAGAGGCGAGUUGGAUGUAGAUCGAUUGGGAGGUGCCCGUGAUGCCUCCUCUGAUGAAUAGUAUCGGACGCGCGUUGUUGUCUCUCGAGUCGCCAGCCUUCGGUGUUCAUCCGUUCCAUCUCUGCGGUGAUCCGGGCCUGCUGUGUCGCCAUCCUGGUGGCUUCCGCGUCCACUUCCCGCUGCCCUUUGGCUGUCUCUUCCCGCAGCUUCGUCAGCUCGGCGUUGAUUGCUUCCUGAUUCCCUUCCGUCAUGACGAUUGUGAUGAGUCUGGUGAUUUCUGCCAUCAAGUCCGCCACGGCUUGAGCCGGAGUUUUCGACGUCUUGCCUGUCUCAUUGUUGCCGGACGGGUUUGGCUGAGGUUGUGCCGCUCCCUCCAUGUAGACGGCGAUUUCUCAACGGGAUCUUUCGAGGAUCUCGGGGUCCAUCGCCAGCGACAAUCCUUUGAGUUGUCCUUCAUGAAGGGGAUGGAUUGAAUCUGUGUUGCCCAUGGAUGACUCUUCAUCAGAUUUGACGGGGGUGAUCUCCUGGACUGCCGAUUCGUCUUGUACGUUGGCUCCUUGCAUAAAACCGAUCAAAACAUGGCGUUUCCUUUCCUGACGAGUGAUGGGGAAUGCUAACCUGGAUGGCUCGACGAUGUCGGUGGAGGUGUCCGGCUCAGGCACGGGUGCUCCAAUCAUGCCGAUGAAGAUGUUGAUCUUGCCGAAGGGGACCCUGUAACCAGAUUCGACUGAGUCGGCUUCAGGCCCCCAUAACGAUUUGUUGAUAUAGUACUUUCCGCGGAGGCUCUUCUUCAUGAUCCCGACCGCAUAGCGUCCUGACCCUGGUAGGGCUCCCAUUGAGAACUCAACUCCAUCGUGUGCAGGCCCCAUGGUGGGCGCCAACUGUCGUGGUUUUGUCAUGGCAGAUGUCCUCGUGAAAGGACUUAAUGAAGGAGCCAUCACACCUUGGUGGCGACUCAAAGGGGGUGAGAGAAAGCAAGACUCAGAUUUACCCAGGUUCGGCCCCUCGUGUGGAGGUAAAAUACUACGUCCUGCUUUGUGUAGAUUGAUGAUGGUUUCGAUUACAAGGAGGGCGUAACUCGCCUGACCUAGCUCUUGAUGAUUUCUUACCUUCUCUAUCUUCCCCACGGACUCACCUUUAUAUACAGGUCGAGGCCCUAGGAUUUACAAGAGUCCUAUCCAUGCUACAGAUCGUGGUCUUCCUUAUCUCUAAGUCGUCGUGCUUUCCAAGACUGGAAACCUCCUUGGCGGUCUAUCGUCUGUAUAGCUCCUGAACCGCCAUCCGGCUCCUGGGCCCCUUGGGCCAAGGCUUGUAUUACCAAAGGAUGAGUCGCCCCUUUAGUGACCCGGCCCAGCUAGGGAGGGCUACACCGCAGGUAAUAUCACCAACACCAUCCGAAGAUCAAGCUUAGAGAAAACCUUGGCCACUUUCAAUUUCUCAAACAAUUAGUUGAUGUUGGGAAGUCGAUACUUGUUCCUGAUUUUCUUCUUAUUAAAUGGGAGGUAAUUGACGUAAAGUCCGUCCGUGCCAUCUUUCUUCUUGACAAAAAGAAUACCACAACCCCAAAGUGAAGAACUUUAUGUAAUCAAACCCACACAUUCUUGUUCAUCUGGCUACUUCUUCCACUAUUUCAGCUCUUUAGGACCAUGUUUAUAAGGAUACUUCCAACCCGGUUCUGUUCCAGGAUCGAGUUCAAUCACAAAAUCUACUAGCCAGUGAGGAGGGAAUCCUCGCAAUUCUUCUAGAAAGACAUCUUCAUACUCACAAAUGGCAAGAACUUGAGAUAUAGCUGAUAUUUCACCCUUCUCAUUGAGAGAAAAUAGACGAAUCGUAUCAUCGCGAGCAGCGAAAAUGAGCACGUCUUCUAAAGGAUGAGUCAAUUUGAUUUCUUUGAAUGCACAAUUAACAUAAGCAUUGUUCAUCGCAAUAAAAUCCAUGCCAAGAAUUAUAUCAAUAUCAAAAUUUCCGAGAACAAUUGGUGAGCCUAGAAAAGAAUAGUUUCACAUCUUUGUAGAAACAUCUGGAGCUACAAUCUUCACAUGCAUGAAUAAACUCGGGCAAACCAGUGACUAGGUUCUAAGCAACUACUCAUGAUGUAGAUGAUGCUUGGUUGCAAACGGUUUAGAUAUGAAUGAAUGCGAGGCAGCACUUUCAAACAACACUUUUGUAGGAAUAGAAUUAACCAAGAGAUUACCCAUGAUCACUUCUCACGACUCUUCUUCUUGAGCUGAGUUGACCACGUUCACUCUUGCCGACUUGGGAUUAUGCUUCACUAUUGCAUGUCCUCAAGGCCUGAUUGGAGGAGGAGGUGGAAGAUUCCACUCGUUGGUACACUUGUUAGAGUAGUGACCCUUAUGACGACACUUGUGAAAAGUAACCGCUAAGAGCGGGCGUAAGUGACCUGGAGGAGGUCCUAACUUAGGCUCCUGAUGCUUCUCCUUGUAUCCCAGUUGGGUGGGUGGGAAGAUCCACGCCCACUGUUCCGCUUGAGCUGCUGGGGAGGACGAAGCGGCGUAGGAGGAGGAACCUCAUACUUCUCCUGCUUAGGAACAAUCUGAGCUGAGGAUGAAGAUGGAUGAGAGUCCAUGAACCGCUUACUUGAAUUCUCGACCCUAAACAGAGUGCAUUCAGUCUUGAGAGCCAAGUUAUGGAACUAAUCAAACUCAGGAGGCUCGUGCAGAGCAAGAGGAAGCUGAAGAUCAUCCCUGAGACCACCUCUGAAAUGAUAAAUCUUGCUCUUCUCAUGAGGAACACCCUACUUAGCAUAGCGGCCAAGGUUCUGGAAGUCGAUGUUAUACUGAUAGACAGACGAGCUACCUUGCUUGACAUUCCUAAACUUCUCACGCAUGCCCUCAAUGAAUCUUUAAGGAAUAUGAUGAGCUGUGAAAUCACAUCAAAAGUCAUCCCAACUAAUCAAACGAACACCUCUAGAAUCCUUGAGCUGCUACCACCACUCUGCUGCCUGACAUUUCAGAUGGAAAGUUGAAAAUCUGACAUAGUCCUCAGGCCUGACAUUGCUGCACUAAAAAUGCUUGAUCAUUUCACGGAGCCAAUCGUCGGCAUCAAAAGGCUGAUAACAAUAGCUGAAGGACUUGAGUUCAUUUACAAGGAACUGACUUAGAGAAAAAGAUGACAGCUGGUUGUUGAAAUUUCAUUGUUAGCCUUGAUUCCUUUCUUGCAUCAUCUCAAGCAGCAUCUCCGUGUUCGCAUUGGUCGUGGCCAUCACACAUCCUGAGGAGGAGGAGGGGUGUUGGAAGUUCUGACUGCUCCCCAUCAUGACUCGGAUUCCGGCGAGUUGCUGGAGCCAUCCUUGAGAUGGACAUGAAUAUUAGAUCACAUAUGAAAAGAUGAAGCUGACAAACUGAAUCAAAGGCUUGAAAUAUUGCAACAUGUAGUCUAAGCAAUUUGCAUUCAAACUAGAAUUAGUAAGAACGUCUCCACAAAUUAGUGAUGACAUCAUUAGAUUCAAAAGCCACUUGCAAUUCUCAAGUUUUGAGCUAAAAAUUUCUCGAAACAAAUGUAUAUCCCUACAUACAUCUGAUGAAAGAAUUUACUAGGUGACUACUUGAAUUUCCACCUGAGAAUUUUCGAAAUCUUUCAUGGUUAUGCCAUCAGGUUGCGGGUCCUGGAACCUACUCUACGUAAUUAGCUGCAUAACCUUUCCUACAACUGUCAAUACAUAUCCGAGAAGUUCUGCAAACUCAUCUGUCUCAGACCUUCAAAACAACAAUGAUACCAGACCUGGUAGAUCAUCCGACCUAUAUCCACCAGUACUGGGGAAACGUCAUGGCACUGUUUGCCACCAAGCAAAGUAUUGAAGCAUUUCGAUGCGUGUAUCCUCAGAUACUGAGGAAGUUCCAUGAUAAGAUGUAUCGAAAACCCCAUGGAGCUCUACUCCUAGAAAACAGGAGGUACCAAGUACAAAACUCUCUCACAUCGACAUCAUAUAGAUUCCAAAAUACUCGCGUGAUCCUAAUUUGUUUAAUGAGAAAAGGGCUAGAACUAAAAUUCCUAAGUCGUAAUUCCACACCAGAACAAGGAAGAGGAGAAAAAAGAAUCCCGCUCUCUGAUAAAACUUGACUCAAAGUAGUUUUUCACUAGACUCGACUCGGCCAAGUUUAAUGAAGCAAAGGGCUCCUAUGGUCAUAAGCCUCUGAUUAUCAACUUGUAACGUCCAAGAUGCGACACUAUCCGUGUUUGGGGACGAGGCCUUAAUAUGGAUAGAGAUGCGUCUCAGCAUACAUUUAAAGAGGAGAUGAGUAUAUGAGUUGGCUUACACUCGCCACAUGGAAAUUAUAAGUCAUACAACAUAUAUUCAAAUUUCGAGAAGACACGUGAGGGUGUCCUAGACUAGGGGGUACUCACCAUGUCGUCUCCCGAUCAGUGGGUCGGUGUGGGGACCCCGACUUACGAGUGGAUAUCGCCGAAUGUAUGUGCUCAGUGAUCCCAGAGAUCAAUGCUCACCGAACACACAGAUACUGAAUAAUAAGAGUCUUACGUCCAACAUACCAUUUGAUACAUCAAAUGACCAUCAUGGUCAAGUCUCACAUAGGUAGGGCCUAUAAGGCCAAUCACUCCGAUACAACUGCUAGCAGAAAUCUUGUAAAUAAACGGGAGCCCAUGCCAUCAGCCUUCACCAAGAGGCAUUCUGACUAGGAAGCGACCUAGUUCGCAUGUCCGUCUCUGGUGAUGAAUUCUUCUCCAAACUCUGGUUCUUCCAUGUCUGGUCAAUAACAUAACAACUGGUAAGACAGUGAGUACUUUGAAUGUCCUCAAAAAUAGCCCACGAUAUGGAUAAUGCAGUUGGUAUGAUAGUAAGUGGUGUGCAACAUUUGCGGAAAGCAAGCUUUGAAGGUAAAUAAACAUGAUCAUAGAUGGGUAUGGAUAUACAUCAUAAGAUAGAUGGUAUUCACAAGAACAAGUUACAUAUAUCAAGAUAUGUUUUGUGGGCUGAACACUUCAGGUUCACCCGAUAUGCCAAGUCAUCAAACUUGUCAUAUCCUCUUACUCACAUAACACCAU